UCCGGGCUGGAUAACCCCACUGACUAUGCUGUCAAACCGAAUCUUGUGUGAUCCACCGGCAACUGUAACAUUGAAGUCGCACGAGGCGGGGAGGGUCACCUCAACGGCACCCCCAUCAUGGUUCACGUACGACUUCACGCCCAGAGGCAAGAGAGCCCGCAGGAAGUUGUUUUUCGCCAACAGGUCGUAUGCUGUGUCGGAGGUGGCCGCUUGGAGGAUGGAAGCCAUGAAUACGAUGAGGAGCAGAUGCUGGAUGGCCAUGGCUAGCUAACUGUUGCUGCUUACAAAUUGUAUCAAGGAAUAUGAGGAACUGAGAAGUAAGUGUAGACUGAGGCCCUGGCCACGUAUUAUAUAUGCUGCCCAACGAAAUCAAAGUCAAUCGUGCUUUAAUUGCAUUUAUUUUGUUCCUGAUUGUCACUCCAUCAACCGCCUCAUCAAAUAUGCUAAAAAUAUCAUCCCAUUAAAUCAUAUUUAUUUCUGGCCUAGAACAUUCUAUAGUUAAUGGUUAUGCCAAAACGUUCCUCAAAUCUUCAUAAUCAAUACGUACCAUAAAAUGAGACUGAAAUUUCAGAGCAACAUUCAUUUACGUACUUCACAGCCGACAUAUGAAACAUAUGCAAAAACCUAAAAAUGAAUCAAGGGGAAACAUCAACAUCCCAACAGUUUGAUCCUUGAUGUUGGCUUGGGUACCAAUGAGGCUUCUCUUCUCUUCAAAUAAUGUUGUGCAGUGCAACUAAAACAUAAAACACCCGCAAGAAAGAAAUAUUUCAUUUAGAUAUACUUGAGUUUUACAUGAGUAUGCGGUGCAAUAGAAUGAUUAUCUCCCAUUGUGCAGAUCAUCUCUUUCAGGAUGCCUACUCAGGCCAGCACAGACUCAUACAUAACAUCUCCGUCAAAGUUUCCACACUGUUAUAGCAUGAACUCCCAGACCGUGAGAGAGGCUCAGUACCCAUAUCCAAAAUGAAGAGUGCGGAGGAGCAGGUGCCUACCCCUCCACCUUCCACUUCUCUUAAAAUUUUCCUGUGCAAUGCAACUAAACUAAAAAACAACUCCAAGCAAUAUAUUCAAUUUAGAUCUUGUUACGUCUCCAACGUAUUUAUAUUUUUUUAUUGUUCCAUGCUAUUAUAAUUGUUGGGUCAUGAGCCAAAAGCAAGCCAUCGAACAUGCCAGUGUUGGAUUGGAUGAGAUUGUCGACCGCCUGAAGGAGGUUCUCAUCGUGAUCCUUGAAGAGCCGGUCCAGACCUACGGUGAAAUACGCUCGUUGAAGCGCGUACACGCCGCACCUUUCCUCGGACGGCUUGUCCAUCGCCUCCGCUCACGGCCGAUCACGCCACCGCGUCCCGUGAUGGUGUCGCGGCAACUCCAGGACCACUUAAUCUUAUACCAAUUGUGAGCAACUCACCUGAUCAAGAGGAAUUGCUAGGGAUUAGAAUUCGAAAUUGCGGAAAUUGGUUCGUUAGCUAGCCGUCCGUCCACCCUCACAGCUACACUACACCGCCUGUUGCCAUCAUCCAAUUCCCAGCCAGGAGAUAGGAGAGAGUUAUAAUUCCUACUAGCUUAGCCCGCGCGGCGACACGCCGCGCCCAUCGAUCAGUCACGACUAUGUAGACUAUGGUCCAAGCAAUAGAGUAAUAAGUAGUUAUGAUGAAAUUUGUUGCAUGACUUGAGGCUUUUUAGCAAAUUGUUUUGUUCACAACAAUUUAUAGACACAAAUAUCUAUCUUUCAUGGAAACUUUUAGUUUAUUUUGUACAUAGCAAGGGUCUGUUCACCAAGUUGAAACAAAUAGACAACAUGACCAAAAGUAAGGAACUUCGAAACAGUGCUUUCGUAGCUAAAAUUUAAUAAUUUUUCACAUUUCAUAACAUAAAUACUUAACUAAAACUUACAUCUGAUCCGAAGUACAACCAUUGAGACAGUAAAAAAACAACUAUUUUGAUCAUCACAAAAAAAUUAAUGUGCAUUUCAUGGAAAAAGUUUAGAGACAAAAUAAUUUAGCCAAGAGAAAAACUAUUUCAGAUCACAAAAGGCGCUCCAAAGAGUAAUUGUGUAUAUUAUUCAAAAGAACACUUUGUUACCUUCAGAGGCUUUAAUUAGCCCCAUUGCAUCUUGUGGAAUCAUGCAGUGAUACAAAUUCUUACCAUAAACAACAAAAUUAAGCAGCUCUUAAUAUAGAAACAACCAUAUCACUCUGAAUCAAGGGAGCAUGAUGCGAUGAACUGAUGAUGGGGAAUCUAUGGUGGCAUAUACCCAGGAAACAGUGUUCAUGGAAACUUUGUUAAACAACCCCUUGCUCAGCUUAAAAGUAUUCCUUCCUGGGUCUCCACUGAAACAAAGCUAUAUUUAUACACCCACAUGUGAGAACAAUAUGAGCCAUUGUUUGAUAUAAAACCAACAAUGCUUGAACAUACUUGUUUCUCUACCUCACCAUGUGGCGGCCAGAAAAAGCUUUAACAAAUUAAAAACCACUUGCAAAUUGAAGUUGAGAGCCUUCACUUAUUUCUCGAAAUGGAAGGAGGAAGGGGCCUUAAUUUGUCCCAGUAACCCCAUGAAUAUAAUUAGCCAAAUAUGCGGCAUUUCAUCUUAUUACACGGUCAUGCUGAAGGAGGGAACAUCAAUAAAAUUAGGCAUAAGAAAUCCAUCAAAUGAAGAGAGAUGUACUUAGAAAUAAGAAUAACAAACAUUCUCAGAUACUAUGUACCUUAUCCUGCCUCUAAGAAUAUGUCAAGAAGGUGAAUCAUUCACUUUUAUGUUACCGUUGCUGACAACGGACAACUGUGGAUGGAAACAAAAUUCUCGGCAAUGCAUAUAUGAAACUAAGUAACAUGACUUAGAAAAUAUAAUGUAAAAUAUCACAAUAAACUACUACUAAGUAUGUUCAAUAGUAAUACAACCUCAGUUUGUACCCCGGAAAUUUCUAUCACCAAAACAUCUUAGAAAGUUCAGUGCCAGUGAUGUGCCUGCCAUAAAACCGAAUGCCAAUUUUCAGUUAAAAAAUAACCGCGCAAGACCAUAUUCUUCUGCCACCAAGGGUAUAUGAUCGAGUGGGGCCAACUAAAGACAUGCCCCACGAUUCCAUUUUUUAAUGUAUGUUGUUGUAUAAUGAAUGACGGGCUUGUAUGCUUACAUGACUAUUUGGUUUUUGAUGUGAUGAAAAUUGGAGGGAAAGAUGCUGGACGGACUAAUUUGAUCAAUCAGGUGAGUAGAAGUAUUAGAGUUUUGGCCAUCUCAUCCAUUAAAUUUGGAUGGAGGGUAUGCAUCUUAAUAUGAUAAACAUAUAUGCAUACCGUAUAUGGGUUAUAUACAUAUAAAAAUCAGUGCAGCAGGCCUUUUUUCUGAAUCUAAACAUCUUGGUGGCCGAGUUCCAGUGUGAAAAUAUUGGUUUUAGUCCCUGGUCAAAUGGACUGAUGCAUAUUAUGUUUGGUUGUACCACGAAAAAUAAUUUGGUUGCUUUAAGAUAUUCAACCGAGGUAGACGAUGCAAUUUUGGCUGACAUGAAGUUUUACGAUCAUCAAUACAGCAGAAUAUGCAAAAGAUGGGAUAAAGCAAGUCAUAUCUACUCCCUCAGUCCCAUAAUAUAACAGCGUUUUUGACAUGAUGGAGGGAGUAGUUUGUUUAUUUGUUUGAGGAACACUUAUUUGCGGAGAAUAAUGAAGUGUGCUUGCACCGGUAGACAUGAGAUGAACUUGAACAAACGAUCUGCAUUCAUAUAUGCAUUGUACCAGAAAUCAGUGCUGCUCUGACUUGCCUCUGCAUUGCCUCUGAACCAGUGUUGAUCUAUAUCGGAGAUCAGGAAUUUACUCAUCAGGUCACUGCAUCUACUUUAUUGCGAUUAAACCACCAAACUCAAAGAAAUACCAGCAAUUUAUUUAAUAGUCUUAUUUGACUUUUUAUUCAGAACGCAUUGAGCUAUUUCUUUUUCCGAGCUACAUUCUUGUACAUUGGAUUCUCAAGGAGCAUCACUUGCGAGACAUGUCUUCACAUACUACCAUUUCAGAACACCACUCCCUUCACGCACAGGACAUACAUGUUCUACAUCCACCCCUCACACUCCUAAUUUCAAACCGAGUUGGCAGGCUAUUGUAAGGAAGGUAAGCAACCUUCUAGAUGGAAUAUUGGAAUUUACUCUGGCAAGGUAGGUCUUAAACAUAUUAUCAUCUGGCUAUCUACUGUUUGAGCUCCCCAUGCUGCUAACACCAUCAAAUAUUGUUUGCUCCGUACAUCUUCAUAUGCCAAUUUGACCUUUUUUUGGCAGACACAGUAUCUCAGAACAUCUAAAUUGACUCCUUGCAUAGGUCUCUGAAUUGACACAAUCAGAAGGAUAAAACAAUCGCUAGAGCUCUUAUAGGAAGUCACCCAUCAUUUGACUUAGACUAAAGAAGGUGUCUAUCAGAAAAAAAGGAACAAAAAGUAAGUGCGAAGAAACACAUGUAGGGUUGCACAUAAUUUGUAAGAGAUGAUCAAGGCAUAUAGUUGCAGCAAGUAGCAAAUGGCAUGAAUUUAUUCAUGAUGCACUCACGCAUCAAGGGUGUAAAUCUUCUUUAGCUAGGUCCAAAUGCAGAUAGAUACAGUACAGGAAUGAUGUGUGAUAUGUCAUUGUAGGUUUCAGACCUGAUGAAAAGUUUAUUACAGUACAUGAAAAAUAUUCAUGAAACGGUUAUACAGUACAUGAAUGAUGAGAAAUCGGAAAUUUCUGUACAGGAGUGAUGUAUAAUAAAUUGCUGAGAGGAAUAAAGAAGAUGCAGAAUGUCUGAAACUUCUCAAAACCAGAGACAAUUAUACAAAAGCUACCUGACCGAGUAUACGGCUAGGAAUCUGCCUAAUUCAGUGUCUCUUAUAACCCGCCAACGACUACGGCGUAAUCACCAUCACUGCGGCUCAACCAGAAUUCGAUCGAAUAAUGAGGCAAAUGAAGUAGCUAAUAUGGGGUAAAUGCACACUAACUUGGCAGCAAGAACAGAUGGGUCGUAAGCGCCUUCAGUGACCCUACGACCUGCAAAUGGCAGUAUACAGACAGUACGCCUUUACUCCGAAUAACCGAGGAGGAGCUGUCCUUAUGCUCUUUUUUUUGCGGGGGAGCUGUCUUUAUCCUCCACUCAAGCUAGCUAUACUUACAAAGUUAGAGCUAUAUAAAGUUUUGAAGCGUAGCGCUGUGAAUGGAUCACUCGUCCAGCAGCCUCCUGACACAUAAAAUAGGCAGAGCGAGCAUUACAAGGUCCCAUAACUCGGGGUCAGGCUUCUCGAACACGAUGACGCGCACCACCGUGCGCCACGCCGACGCCAGGUAGUAGAGCGCGGGCCUCUUGCACUGGUUGUGCGCCAGGGGCUUCAUGUUGAAUGCGCGCGCCUUGUAGUCGGCGGGCCAGUACCAGUUCAUGAACGUCCGCGCCGGCAUCUGCAUCUCCCGCGCCAGCACGACGCCCUCGGCACCGUCACCACGAACCCCCACGCCACUGACACCAUCCACCAGUUCGCCGCGAUGUAGCAUAUCGACUGGUGCAUCACCCCCGUCGAACAGCCUCCGCAGAGACGCCGGGCGCGAACGCACGUUGGGGAUAAGCGGUCGAGGUGGUGCAGCGAGUCAGCGACACCAGCGGUGCCACCUGGUGGGCGGCGAGGAGGCCUAGGAGGUCACCAUACACGCCUUACUCGUGGAAGCCCGAGUGUCGGCACUCCCAGCUCCGCCAUGCCCCAUGCACGAUGUAGUAGGGGACGGCGAGGAGGUUGUUCGGGAGGAAGACCGUGUUGUCGACUUGUCGUCACCCAUGACGAACCAGCGUACACCUGGGAGACUGAGGCGGAAGGUCUCGGAGAUGACGGUCGACGUGUGAGAUGCAUGCGGAUGGCAGAGCGAUGACCGUGCGUGUAGGAGAAACCGGAGGUAUCCGGUAAGAUCUUGAUGUAUAUGCACUCCUUCCGCUUCUCCAACAGGCGCGCCAACGCCGUGAAGCCGAACACUACAGCGUAAUCGUCGUUGUCAACACCGUGGCCGUGGCAGGUUGCGGUGGUGGUGGCGUACUCGUCGUCAACACCACCGUAUCUGUGGAGGGUGGUGGUGGCAUCCUCGCCGUCGACACCACCGUGACCGUGGCGGGCAUCAGCAGGGGCCUCGCCAGCGGCAACGUGACUAAUCAGGAGGAUAGCGUUGUGGGCGGCUUCUUCUGGGUGGAGGCAGCCGGGCGCUGCCACGCUGGGCAAGAUGCUAUGUGCGAAGAAGAGCCCUUUUAUAGGCCAGUACGGCGGUGAAUGGGUGGCUGGGUUAUGCACCGCACUGGAGCAGAGUUUUCGGGAGCGUCUAGAACACACGGCUGGACAACAGCAGUAGUAACAAAAAGGUACAUAUCGAUUGGGCCAGAAGCGGUCACGACAGAAAUACAGAGAAGCAUCGAUGUGUCUGGAAAGGGAGAUUUCGAUUGGGCCAGAAGCGGCCGCGACAGAAAUACAGAGAAGCAUCGAUGUGUCAACCAAGCGAUCGCCACACCCGUUGAAGAAAUUUGAAUCAAAAAACUGAACACACCACUCAUUUCUACCCUGCCGUGUACCAAAAAAAUACCACGCGCCAUACCCACAACUCACCAUAGGUCACUUUCAUCCAAUUGGUUUAAUCUCAAAGCGAAAACCUUGCCUGCAAUAGAGGCUUGGGUAUUUAAACUAGUGAUCGCUAACAUAGUAGAAGGGCGUGCUCAUAGUCCAUCAACCAUCGCGGUGGGUUGAUCUCGAACCUAGGCUGCGGUUAGAGCAUAAAAAUUGUAUGCGAUAUUGAGUCCAUCACACAAAGUUAGAACAUACAAACUAUGUGCAAUAGGAAGGGUCCAUCACACACGGUUAUAAUUAAAAAUCGUGUGCUCGGAUGGGUUGGCGAUUGGGGUGCCAAUACACACGCUUUCAAAACGGUGUGCGAUGAAUGGGCUCGACUAGGUCUAACAUAAGUGCUACAUUAUACAAUUAUUCAUUUUUUACAAGCAAACAUAGCACCAGACAUAAUUCACAAUUGGACAACCCAUCGCACACUCUACGAUAUUUUGUUCUGCCAUUUCUCUACUAAUGGACAAAAGGCACUCGGCUUACAUCGGUAUGCCAACAUGAUGUACCUUGAGUGCGUUACGCUGAGUGUCAAACCCGCCGAGGCAAAAUCAGCCUUUGCUAGGGGGUCUGCACACCCAAUGGCGGAGCUAUGUUGGNNNNNNNNNNNNNNNNNNNNNNNNNNNNNNNNNNNNNNNNNNNNNNNNNNNNNNNNNNNNNNNNNNNNNNNNNNNNNNNNNNNNNNNNNNNNNNNNNNNNNNNNNNNNNNNNNNNNNNNNNNNNNNNNNNNNNNNNNNNNNNNNNNNNNNNNNNNNNNNNNNNNNNNNNNNNNNNNNNNNNNNNNNNNNNNNNNNNNNNNNNNNNNNNNNNNNNNNNNNNNNNNNNNNNNNNNNNNNNNNNNNNNNNNNNNNNNNNNNNNNNNNNNNNNNNNNNNNCGCCACUGUGCACACCCAGCUUAAUAUGCUUUCUUGUAGUGGAGAAAUUUCAACGUAUGAUGUAAAAUAGCCGUUGUGUCAAAAGAAUUGACAGUUAGGUCACUUUGGGCCAAAAAAAGUAUCCAAAAGAUGCCCUAUAUACCUAUAUGUUGCAAAAUAAAAUUACCCAAAAUUUUGUCACACACAUCUAGUAGCUGCGUUGAAACCAAAAACAAUGCAGCAGGAACCCAACCACUAGCGAUGAGACUACCCCACCGCCGACAGUCGCCACCCCACACCUACUCUGACCGACUGUGCAGCGCAUGCCGCCGCCGCGACUCAAUCGGCCAUUCUCAGCCCCGCUACCACCCUGCCGCUUGGGAUGUCCGCUACCAAAUCUUGGGCCGGCGCAUCCGAUUCCACCGACUCUGGCCAUAGAAAGUUGGUGUAGCUACCGGGACAUCCCCCUUCAGUAUUUUGGCUAAUUUUGAACUUUUUGUCCGGAUCACAAGAAAAUGUUAGUAUCGUCCAUGUUGCUGAAGGGGAAUUACUACUUGGGGAUUUGCUCACUGAAUAUUGGAAUAUACUUACUUUAUGCAUGCCAUCAAAUAUAGCUCAUCCCCUGAAAGAACAAAGAUUGCUGAUGUUUUUUUCCACGGUUUUCUAAACAAUGUUGAUCUUUUUCAGAGAAAUGCAAUGAUUAUUUUUAGAGAACAUUCUGCAAAUCAACUAAAUAAGAGUCUAGGCAUUCUUCUUGUUUUUUUCGGGGGGAAGGUGUCUAGGCAUUUAUUAACAUGUAGAACUUACAAUGCAUGGGGAAUGAAAGAUCAAAUAUACCUUGCUCUCCUUUCUUAUUUUAGUGGCUGUUAAUGUCAUCAUAAAGAAUAUUACACAUUAGGAUUGAGUUGUUUUGCUCUUCUAUUUUCCAGUAAGCCCUGCGAUAUUUUACAACCCAUCGGACACCCUUGUGGAUCUGAUGCUAUGUAGAUCAAGAUUAUUUCUAAUUACCUGCGAGACACCGACAAAGUAUAUCAUGUGGAAUUUCUUGUUCCUGUGGUUAGACUGGAUCAGAAUCUAUCAGUUGAUUUUUAAAUCCGUGUUCUACAGCUCUAAGGUAGCCUCUCUGGUAGUCCCUAGUUCCUAAAUUUGUUGUUUGUUAAUUGAAGUCGAUGCCCAGAAUUGUUUUUCACAAUCCAAUCAUUGGAUAGGAUUAGUGUGUUGAAAACUGCACUAUCUGUGCUUCAUUUAAAGAUGACACAAAAAUUAAUUUUGUAAUUGUUGUGGAUUGCAUUCCAAUCGAACCCAAUUUGCUCAGUUUGGAUUAAUGGUUGCUGAGGUAUCACCAGAAUGGUGCUGCUGUACAAGUAUUUUCAAAGUUGAGCAGAUAUUGUUUUUGCAACUUUUAACAAAUUUCUAUUCGCAAGAACUAGUCUAUAUUCAGAUAUGACCAGUUUCUUAUUACAACAUGCAUGAAAGACGUAGAUAACUUCAUGUUGAAUAUCCUGAUUUGUUUAUUUUCUUCAUUUUGUAAAAUGGAUCAUGAUUUAUAUCCUAGAAAUUCAUAUAUGACGUGCUUUGGAGUUCAAAUUAAAUGGAGAAUCCAAGCUAUGCUUGUAUAUUUACCUAAUAAUAAUUAAUGGGCUAGCUCUAGGAGAUAUUUAUACAUAUACUAUUAGGUAUUAGGAUGUUCAAGAGCCAAGAACAAUACAUAAAAAUUUUAUGUUUAUAUUAAAGGGGCCUCGGGUUUUACUUUCGCCCCGGGCCCCCGAAAUGUCAGGACCGGCCCUGGGAGCAAGCAGCAAGGGAUCAUCGGCUCCGGUGGCGAUGAUAGGCGGCACUGGUGAGACAGCGAACGACAACGCAUGAAGCAAGCAGUAAUGGAUCGCCGUCUCUCGUGGCGAUGAUCCGCAUCAGCGGCUGUGGGACGGCUAAUGACGACAUGCAGAGCAAGCAGCAAGGGAUCGCCGCUCGCCGGCUCCAUCAUGAUGAUCUUCGGCGGCGGUGAGACAGCCGAUGACGACGCACGAAGCAAGCAGCAAGGGACCGCCGUCUCUCACAGCGAUGAUCUGCAAUGGCGGUGAGACGGCUGAUGACGACGCGCGGAGCAAGAAGCAAGGGAUCGUUGUCUCCCCCAACGAUCAUCUUGCCUUGGCGCUGGGAGCGGUUAGCGCGGUCGCAGGGCGACCUUCAACAGCAUGACGAAAAACGUGGAGAGCUCGGUGGCGGCAUGGGUGAUCGCCACUGUUCCUGGUUCUGCUCGGUGUUGUGUUCUUCCUCCGGGACUUGAUGCAUUUAUUUCCGGUACGUGUGCGUGGCUAUCCAGUUUAAAAGACAACAACCACGGAAAUCCAUAACUCUUGGACUUCGGACCUACCUUUCGUGCUCCGCCUCCUAGUAAAGUGCCUCAGUCAGUGGGUUACCCUCCUUUCUUAUUUUAGUGGCUGUUAAUGUCAGAUAUCAUAAAGAAUAUUACCACAUUAGGAUUGAGUUGUUUUGUUCUUCUAUUUUCCAGUAAGCCCUAUGAUAUAUAACCUAUCGGACAGCCCUAGAUCUGAUGCUAUGUAGAUCAAGGUUAUUUCUAAUUACCCACGAGACUCCGACAGAGUAUAUCAUGUGGAAUUUCUUGUUCUUAUAGUUAGGAUGAACCGUUGCAACAUCGUCUCGCAAUAAAUAAUUGUGCAAAAAAAUUAUGAUCAUUCACAAUAAUAUUGGAUCUCGAAACCAUGACUUAUUACAUAAUCAGUUUAUUCACUCUACAUAAAGCAGCGGACUCAUAGAGACAUAUGCAUAUUGGAUAGUACAUUAUAUGGAAGGCGUGCAUGCAUCCCUAACCGAUCACACCCUUAGUUGCACCUGGGGCUCUGCACGAUUGCUAACCGGAAAUGACUGGUCAAACGUGGCUGCAUGCUCACUACCAGUAAACCUAAGCUUGUCACCGACACGUUGAACCGUAUGGAAUGCAAGAAAAUGCCACUCAAACUGGAUCCUGACGCCGCCCCAAUUGAGUAAUGGAUCCGGGCUGGAUAACCCCACUGACUAUGCUGUCAAACCGAAUCUUGUGUGAUCCACCGGCAACUGUAACAUUGAAGUCGCACGAGGCGGGGAGGGUCACCUCAACGGCACCCCCAUCAUGGUUCACGUACGACUUCACGCCCAGAGGCAAGAGAGCCCGCAGGAAGUUGUUUUUCGCCAACAGGUCGUAUGCUGUGUCGGAGGUGGCCGCUUGGAGGAUGGAAGCCAUGAAUACGAUGAGGAGCAGAUGCUGGAUGGCCAUGGCUAGCUAACUGUUGCUGCUUACAAAUUGUAUCAAGGAAUAUGAGGAACUGAGAAGUAAGUGUAGACUGAGGCCCUGGCCACGUAUUAUAUAUGCUGCCCAACGAAAUCAAAGUCAAUCGUGCUUUAAUUGCAUUUAUUUUGUUCCUGAUUGUCACUCCAUCAACCGCCUCAUCAAAUAUGCUAAAAAUAUCAUCCCAUUAAAUCAUAUUUAUUUCUGGCCUAGAACAUUCUAUAGUUAAUGGUUAUGCCAAAACGUUCCUCAAAUCUUCAUAAUCAAUACGUACCAUAAAAUGAGACUGAAAUUUCAGAGCAACAUUCAUUUACGUACUUCACAGCCGACAUAUGAAACAUAUGCAAAAACCUAAAAAUGAAUCAAGGGGAAACAUCAACAUCCCAACAGUUUGAUCCUUGAUGUUGGCUUGGGUACCAAUGAGGCUUCUCUUCUCUUCAAAUAAUGUUGUGCAGUGCAACUAAAAUAUAAAACACCCGCAAGAAAGAAAUAUUUCAUUUAGAUAUACUUGAGUUUUACAUGAGUAUGCGGUGCAAUAGAAUGAUUAUCUCCCAUUGUGCAGAUCAUCUCUUUCAGGAUGCCUACUCAGGCCAGCACAGACUCAUACAUAACAUCUCCGUGAAAGUUUCCACAAUGUUAUAGCAUGAACUCCCAGACUGUGAGAGAGGCUCAGUACCCAUAUCCAAAAUGAUGAGUGCGGAGGAGCAGGUGCCUACCCCUCCACCUUCCAUUUCUCUUAAAAUUUUCCUGUGCAAUGCAACUAAACUAAAAAACAACUCCAAGCAAUAUAUUCAAUUUAUAUCUUGUUGGGUUAUGAUACGUCUCCAACGUAUUUAUAUAUUUUUUAUUGUUCCAUGCUAUUAUAAUUGUUGGGUCAUGAGCCGAAAGCAAGCCAUCGAACAUGCCAGUGUUGGAUUGGAUGAGAUUGUCGACCGCCUGAAGGAGGUUCUCAUCAUGAUCCUUGAAGAGCCGGUCCAGACCUACGGUGAAAUACGCUCGUUGAAGCACGUACACGCCACACCUUUCCUCGGACGGCUUGUCCAUCGCCUCCGCUCACGGCCGAUCACGCCACCGCGUCCCGUGAUGGUGUCACGGCAACUCCAGGACCACUUAAUCUUAUACCAAUUGUGAGCAACUCACCUGAUCGAGAGGAAUUUCUAGGGAUUAGAAUUCGAAAUUGCGGAAAUUGGUUUGUUAGCUAGACGUCCGUCCACCCUCACAGCUACACUACACCGCAUGUUGCCAUCAUCCAAAUCCCAGCCAGGAGAUAGGAGAGAAGUAUAAUGCCUACUAGCUUAGCCCGCGCGGCGACACGCCGCGCCCAUCGAUCAGUCGCGACUAUGUAGACUAUGGUCCAAGCAAUAGAGUAAUAAGUAGUUAUGAUGAAAUUUGUUGCAUAACUUGAGGCUUUUUAGCAAAUUGUUUUGUUCACAACAAUUUAUAGACACAAAUAUCUAUCUUUCAUGGAAACUUUUAGUUUAUUUUGUACAUAGCAAGGGUCUGUCCACCAAGUUGAAACAAAUACACAACAUGACCAAAAGUAAGGAACUUCGGAACAGUGCUUUCGUAGCUAAAAUUUAAUAAUUUUUCACAUUUCAUAACAUAAAUACUUAACUAAAACUUACAUCUGAUCUGAAGUACAACCAUUGAGACAGUAAAAAAACCACUAUUUUGAUCAUCACAAAAAAAUUAAUGUGCAUUUCAUGGAAAAAGUUUAGAGACAAAAUAAUUUAGCCAAGAGAAAAACUAUUUCAGAUCACAAAAGGCGCUCCAAAGAGUAAUUGUGUAUAUUAUUCAAAAGAACACUUUGUUACCUUCAGGCUUUAAUUAGCCCCAUUGUAUCUUGUGGAAUCAUGCAGUGAUACAAAUUCUUACCAUAAACAAAAAAAUUAAGCAGCUCUUAAUAUAGAAACAACCAUAUCACUCUGAAUCAAGGGAGCAUGAUGCGAUGAACUGAUGACGGGGAAUCUAUGGUAGCAUAUACCCAGGAAACAGUGUUCAUGGAAACUUUGUUAAACAACCCCUUGCUCAGCUUAAAAGUAUUCCUUCCUGGGUCUCCACUGAAACAAAGCAAUAUUUAUACACCCACAGGUGAGAACAAUAUGAGAUUGUUUGAUAUAAAACCAACAAUGCUUGAACAUACUUGUUUCUCUACCUCACCAUGUGGCAACCAGAAAAAGCUUUAACAAAUUAAAAACCACUUGCAAAUUGAAGUUGAGAGCCUUUACUUAUUUCUCGAAAUGGAAGGAGGAAGGGGCCUUAAUUUGUCCCAGUAACCCCAUGAAUAUAAUUAGCCAAAUAUGUGGCAUUUCAUCUUAUUACAUGGUCAUGCUGAAGGAGGGAACAUCAAUAAAAUUAGGCAUAAGAAAUCCAUCAAAUGAAGAGAGAUGUACUUAGAAAUAAGAAUAACAAACAUUCUCAGAUACUGCUUUCUGCCACGGAUGGCUCUCCUUCUUCGGAUGCUGCUUUUUAUCGGUCUGUCGUUGGUGCUCUCCAGUACCUUACUCUGACUCGACCGGAGAUCCAGUAUGCCGUGCAACAUGUGUGUCUUCAUAUGCAUGCUCCUCGAGACAUUCACUGGGCUGCCGUCAAGCGGAUUCUCCGCUAUAUCUGUGGCACUAUGGAUCUUGGCGUCACGCUUCACGCCUCCGCCGACACCGCCCUGCGUACUCCGAUGCAGACUGGGCGGGCUGCCCUGACACUCGUCGUUCCACUUCGGGCUACUGUGUCUACCUUGGACCCUCACUUAUCUCGUGGUCGUCCAAGCGGCAGCCUACGGUCUCUCGUUCUAGUGCUGAGGCUGAGUAUCGUGCGGUGGCCAACGCCGUCGCCGAGUGUUCGUGGCUUCGCCAGCUGCUUCAGGAGCUCUCUUGUCCUGUUGACCGUGCCACGGUGGUCUACCGCGACAACGUCUCGGCGGUCUAUCUCUCCGCUAACCCGGUGCAUCAUCGACGGACCAAACAUAUUGAGUUGGAUAUUCAUUUUGUUCGGGAACAGGUGGCCCUUGGCCAUAUUCGUGUUUUACACGUCCAUACUUCCCAACAAUUUGCCGAUAUCAUGACCAAGGGCUUGCCUACGGCGUCAUUUGAGGAGUUCCAGUCUAGUCUUUGCGUCAGCCGCGGUGCCGCUUCGACUAGGGGGGGGGGGUGUUGAGUAUAUGUGUUAUGUGCAUAUUGCGUAUUGGGCCCGCCUUCUAGUUCAUUGUAUAGUUGAGGUCCGUGGCCCACCUUUAUACAUCAUAUAUACGUGCCUAUGCAUGAAGAGUAAUACAUCGUGCAAUUGCCACAACUCACAAUGUUGAACACGCCACUCCUCAAGAUCGUUGCAGCCUCGCUGCACCAGCGUCGUGAUUUUUCUGGCAAGCCGUUGGUCCCUGAUAUUAGCUGACGUUAGCUGACACAAGGGUCCCACUACGGCCGCCAUCGCUUGCCCCUUUGUUGUCGAUGCCAGGUGGGCCACUCACUUCAGCUCCUUCUCCAAGCCAGCCAGUUAAUCAGGUCACAAAACCAGCCAUGGAGCACCCCACCGAAUCCAGCCAAUCAGGUAUAGAACCUGUUGGCAUAAGCCAUGCCAUGUGCGGUGGCGACUGGCGUUGGGCGCGCCAGGUGUGUGUCCGUGUAUGCGUGGGAGAGGCCACCCGAGUCGUGUGUGCUGUGACAGUUCGUGCAUGCAUGUAGCUGGAUUAGUGGUCGCAGGUGGUGACCAAGCCACACGGGUCAUACGUGCAUCUAGUCUAGGUAGUUAGUAUAAGGAUGCAUGCAUUGGUUAGCGUGUUAGACGGCCAGUGGUGGUUGGAUUACUACGGCCCUGUUUGGUUCAUAAGUCCUACGAUUUUUUUAGUCCCAACUUAUAAGUUUCAAGUCCCUAAAAAGUCCCUACCUGUUUGGUUCCUGCGACUUAUAAGUCCCUAUAAGACCAUAUUACAACUAUAAGACCCUAUACGUUCCUCCUUGAAAGUCUUAUUUCAUAAGUCCCAAAUGCCUAGUUUAAGUCCCUAUAAGUCCCUCCUGUUUGGUUUAGAUGGGACUUACAAGGACUUUUUUAAGUCUCUUGUAACGUCCCGGAUACAACUUUCCAUAUUCGUAACUCCAACUCUUGCCUUUUCCGGAGAUGCGAUAUGAUAUUUCCUUCGUGGUUGGGUUUUGUCUGUUGUUUUGCAUUUUGUUCUUGUUAUGCAUCUCAUCUCAUGUCAUCAUUCGCAUUGCAUCGGCAUUGUUUUCGUAAAACUUGCAUCAGUGGCCUAAAAAUGUUCUCGGAAUGGGAUGCAACUUGGCGUGCGGUCUUAUUAUAGUGUAGACAGACCGCCUGUCAAGUUUCGUCGCAUUCGGAGUCCGUUUGACUGCCCAACCGUUAAACAUAUAGCGGCACCGUUGCCGGUGUUUUCGCUGGACGUUUCGGUCUCCGGAACAGUUGCCGGGCCUCACUUCUCUUCUCUCCUCUCAGUCGAGGCCUCUCUUCACAGCCCACCUAGACCCCCUAUGUCCGGAGCUGCACGAUCGCGAUCGUACGGCUCGAAAACCCCUCCAACCCUAAUCUUAACCUCCUGCCCUAUUUAAACCACCUUCCCCUUCCAAUUUUGGCAGCCUCCCCCCUCCUCCUCUUUUUCCGCAACACCCAACCCGCAGCCACCUCCUCCCACCUCGGGGGCCGCGCCGCCGCCUUCCCCCCUUCCAGAUCCGGCGCGCCCCAGCCUCCCUCCGCCACUUGUCAAGCCCCUAGUGGCCAGCCACCGCCACAUCGUCGCCUCCAACCACUCUGGGAGCGCCACAUGGCCUCGCCGCGUCCUCCUCGCCGCCGAGGCCCGCGGAAGCCCGCAACCGGACCACCCCGGGCCGCAUCUGGCCUCGGCGCACCCACUCCCCCACAACCGUGCCGUCUCCCUGCUCGCCCGAGCGAUCCAGAUCGGGAGAGGAGCUCCCGAUCCAGAUCGUGCCUCGCCGCCGCCUCUGGCCGAAGCCAUCUCGCCGCCGUCUCACCGCCCCGGCGGACCCAGGUCGCUGCCGCCCGGUCUCUCUCUCCCUUCCCUUUCUCCUUCCUCCCCUCACCAGCUCUCUCUCCCCCGCAGCUAGCCGCCGCCGCCAUGAACGCCUCCACCGAGCUCCGCCGUGGGCAUCACCACCUCACCGCCGGCCUCCUUCCGCCAGAUCCGGGCAGGGGAUGGUCGGAUCCAUCCAUCCCCAACCUCCCGCCGACCCCUACAACACCGGAGCGUUGCCCCGCCGCCGGUCUCCACCGCGUCGACCUCCUGCCUCGUCCUCGUUCGGGCAGAGGACGAGGGCAUCCUCCUCGCGCACGUGGGCCAGCGCGUCGCCCUGCUGGUGGGUCACCCCACCUCCAAGGCCCACGUCGCCUCGGCCCAGCCCCGACCGGCCUCAAGGCCCGAUGUGAGCAGCUCCCCGACGCCUGGGCCAGAUCUCAGAUUCGGCCCAGCGUAGUUUUUUUUCCGCUCUGCGAUUUGCUAAUUAUCCAGAGUUUGCAUAUUUACAGAUUAACCCUCCAUGUUCAUGCAUAUAAUAACUCAUGAACCGUGCAUCGGAUUUAAAUAAUUUAUAUAUGUAAAAUGCUUAGAAUUUUGUGUAGAUUAAUAAUAUGCUGCUUGCAUCCAUGUUUAAAAUGUUGUUUGCAUUUAAUUUGCUCAAAUGCCAUGCAAAAAUGAUUUAUUUCAUAACUAAAUAACCGUAGCUCGGAAUUUAAUAAACUUUAUAUGUAAAUGGGGUGGAAAAAUGGCUAGAUUAACAUGGUGCACUUUAUUUUGCUGUUUAACAAUAUUAAAAUUGUGUUUAGGGCAAAACAGUACCGAAUCUAAAAUAUGCACAUGGGGAUUUUUCCGGAAUUGUUGUUUGUUGUUUCCGGCCUCACUUAAACUUGCCUAGAUAGGUAGUUUAAUUAUGUUUCACCUCUUGCCAUGUUUAACAACAUUUAAUAUUGUUGUGUACCUAAACGAGAGCGAACUAAAUAACUCAGAUGUGGUGUUUCGUCAAUAUGCAACUCGUUGCAUAUUGAGCUCCACUUAACUUGUAUUAUUGUUUGUUGCACUUUGCCAUGCCAUGCCUCAUUAAACCGGACAUGCAUCAUACUUGUUUGUGCAUCAUGCCAUGAUUAUGCUUGUGUGUUUACCAUGUUGUUUGUUUCUUUCCGGUGUUGCUUCUUAGUUCCGGUAAUGUUGCGAUUGUGAGGAUUUGUUCGACUACGCCCGUUCAUCUCCUUCAUGGACUCGUUCUUCUUCCUUGCGGGAUUUCAGGCAAGAUGACCGCUACCCUGGAUCUCACUACUAUCAUUGCUAUGCUAGUUGCUUCGUUCUAUCGCUAUGCUGUGUUACCUAUCUUUUGCUCUUCAAGCCUCCCAAAUUGCCAUGAACCUCUAACCUUUGACACUCUUCCUAGCAAACUGUUGCUUGGCUAUGUUACCGCUUUGCUCAGCCCCUCUUAUAGCAUUGUUAGUUACAGGUGAAGUUGAAGAUUGCUCCAUGGUGGAUAGGGUUUUGGUUGGGAUAUCACAAUAUCUCUUAUAUUAUUAAUGCAUCUAUAUAUUUGGUAAAGGGUGGAAGGCUCGGCCUUAUGCCUGGUGUUUUGUUCCACUCUUGCCGCCCUAGUUUCCGUCAUACCGGUGUUAUGUUCCCGGAUUUUGCAUUCCUUACGCGGUCGGGUGAUUUAUGGGACCCCCUUGACAGUUCGCUUUGAAUAAAACUCCUCCAGCAAGGCCCAACAUUGACUUUUACCAUUUGCCUCACCACCACCUAUAUUUCCCUUGGGAGUAAUUAACCCAAGGGUCAUCUUUUUUUAGCCCCCCCCCCGGGCCAGUGCUUGUCUAAGUGUUGGUCCGAAUCGGGCAGACUGCGGGGCCACCUCGGGGCAACUCGAGGGUUGGUUUUACUCGUAGGCUGACCUAUCCGGUGUUGCCCUGAGAACGAGAUAUGUGCAGCUCCUAUCGGGAUUAUCGGCGCAUCGGGCGGCUUUGCUGGUCUUGUUUUACCAUUGUCGAAAUGUCUUGUAAACCGGGAUUCCGAGUGUGAUCGGGUCUUCCUGGGAGAAGAUAUAUCCUUCAUUGAUCGCGAGAGCUUAUCAUGGGCUAAGUUGGGACACCCCUGCAGGGUAUAAUCUUUCGAAAGCCGUGCCUGCGGUUAUUGGCAGAUGAGAAUUUGUUAAUGUCCGGUUGUAGAUAACUUGACACCAGAUUCGAAUUAAAACGCAUCAACCGCGUGUGUAGCCGUGAUGGUCUCUUCUCGGCGGAGUCCGGGAAGUGAACACGGUUUAUGGGUUAUGUUUGACGUAAAUAGGAGUUCGGGAUCACUUCUUGAUCAUUGCUAGCUUCACGACCGUUCCUUUUGCUCUGUUCUCGCUCUUAUUUGUGUAUGUUAGCCACCAUAUAUGCUUAGUCGCUGCUGCAACCUCACCACUUUACCCCUUCCUUUCCUAUUAAGCUUUGCUAGUCUUGAUACCCAUGGUAAUGGGAUUGCUGAGUCCUCGUGGCUCACAGAUUACUACAACAACAGUUGCAGGUACAGGUUAUGCGAUGAUCAUGACGCGAGAGCGAUGCUUGCUUGCGUUGGAGUUCUUCUUCUGUUUCUUCUUCGAUCAGGGGAUAGGUUCCAAGUCGGCAGCCUGGGCUAGCAGGGUGGAUGUCGUUUGAGUUUCUGUUUGUGUUUCAUCCGUAGUCGGAUGGUGCUCUAUGUAUUGUGAUGUUGUAUUCGUGUGGCAUUGUAUGCCUCUUGUAUGUAUCCACAUCUAUUAUAUAAUGUUGAUGUAAUGAUAUCCACCUUGCAAAAGCGUUUCAAUAUGCGGGUCUAUCCUUGGUGGGACCUUCGAGUUCCUUUUGGAUAGGGUCGCAUAUUGGGCGUGACAUCUCUAGACCAAUAAGUCCCUGGAAACAAACACCGUCUACGUGUGUGUCGUGGGGUUAGUGGCUGGUGUGAUGGCCGGGUCGUGUGUGUGCGUCCGGGUAUAAAAAGCCCUCCCAUGUAUUGAUUGAGGUGCGCCCGUUUGUUGCCGCGCCACGGUGACGGUAUGUGCCGAACCGAGGGGAAGGGGCCUAAGGAAGAUGUAGUCUUCAUCGGGACCGUGGUAUGCGCCUGGUUGAUGUGAGAGUUCUUCCGGGGUUGUGCUGCGUGUGUGUACCUCCAUGUAUGUGUGUUUGAGUAGUUGAGUUGAAUAGAAGCCAACAUACAGGCCGUUCGGCGGCCGGGGCGUUCGUCGCUGGAAAAUUCUGUUCAUCUUCUUCUACCUUCGUCCGGCGGUCGUCGUCGGAGGGCGGUUCGGCGUAUGUCCCCGGUGGGUUUGUCCCAACAUUUGGUAUCAUGAGCUUCGUUGUCUUGGGCGUCGUUCUCCUUGCCGGAGGAGUGCCGGCAGUGGCGGAGUUCGCCGGCGGCUGCGCGGUGCUCCGGGCCGUGUGUCGGCCUAUGGAGGUGCGCGGCGCUGCGACAGCGCGGCGAGGAGGCCGCGGAGGUCCUGCUUGGUGGCGCAGAGGCCGCGAAGGCGCGGCGGCAUUGUGUAGCACGGCGUCGGCCGCCCGAGCGCGUCGGCGUCGACGACGUGUGUUGCAGGCAGUGAAGGGAAUUGGCGUGCAUCGCCGGACACGAAGAAGAAGAAGAUGCAGCAGGGUUCACGUCUGAGAGGCUGUAGCGGCGGCCAUGGUGGCAACGAUGACGGGAGCUGCAGCGAGGACAACAGCGACGAUGUCAUGGCUUAGGAGGUGAGUGUUGGCAUAAGCCAUGCCAUGUGCGGUGGUGACUGGCGUUGGGCGCGCCAAGUGUGUGUCCGUGUAUGCGUGGGAGAGGCCGCCCGAGUCGUGUGUGCUGUGACAGUUCGUGCAUGCAUGUAGCUGGAUUAGUGGUCGCAGGUGGUGACCGAGCCACACGGGUCAUACGUGCAUCUAGUCUAGGUAGUUAGUAUAUGGAUGCAUGCAUGGGUGGUUAGCGUGUUAGCCGGCCAGUGGUGGUUGGAUUACUACAUGUGUGUCGUGGGGUUAGUGGCCGGUGCGAUGGCCGGGUCGUGUGUGCGCGUCCGGGUAUAAAAAGGCCUCCCAUGUAUUGAUGGAGGUGCGCCGGUUUGUUGCCGCGCCACGGUGACGGUAUGUGCCGAGCCGAGGGGGAGGGGCCUAAGGAAAAUGUAGUCUCCAUCGGGACCAUGGUAUGCGCCUGGUCGAUGUGAGAGUUCUUUCGGGGUUGUGCUGCGUGUGUGCGUGUGUACCUUCAUGUAUGUGUGUUUGAGUAGUUGAGUUGAAUAGAAGCCAACAUACAUGCCGUUCGGUGGCCGGGGCGUUCGUCGUUGGAAAAUUGUGUUCAUCUUCUUCUACCUUCGUCCGGCGGUUGUCGCCGGAGGGCGGUUUGACGUAUGUCGCCGGUGGGUUUGUCCCAACAGAACCAACCUCUCGUGGAUCAGCCAUGCGUAACCCUAGCGUCUGAUCCAAACUGUCCACACAUAGCGAUCUAAUGACAUGAAAGGGUGCGGGGUUUCAGGGGGGGUGGGGUUGAGGGGUUUUGAGAGGGUUUCAAGGGUUAAGGUUGAGCAUAAGUAAUUAAAAAAAUACAAAAAUAUGAAACAUGUGCAUCAUCGUUUUUAUGUGACUAAGUUGCUAGGAAAAAUAAGGAACUUGGUAUACGGAUAUUUUCAUGAAAAUCCCUUUACAGAACUUGGCUAUCAUGAAUGAGGUUGCAGUGUUUUCAAGGGAUAUGAGCUAGGGUUUAGGGUUAAGCAUGACAUAGUUUGUCCAAAUGAUCCCAUAUUGGGCAUGAACCCUAUAUUUGCACACUUUAUGUCAAGAUUUUUUUUCGCUCAUUUAGAGAAGGUCGAAAAAAAACUUGCAUAUAAUUGAUGUUGUUUACCCUAGCUUUGGAGCUCAUUUUUCAUGACUAUGAGUUUUACUUUCACAAAAGUGCUCGGAUUGAUCACCUCAAGUGCAUGAUAUUUGAAAAAGCAUCGAAACAUCAAUACACAUCAAAGUACAAAUUUGAAUUUUGGCUCAAAUUUGAAUAGUGUGUACCAAUAUACAUCAGAGUACAAAUAGCAUUACAUCACACAAGUUUCAAUACCACAAACCAAGAACAAGUUUGGACAAAAAGACGGGAAUACAUAGUGUGUACCAAUACACAUCAAAGUACAAAUAACAUUACAUCACACAAGUUGAUCCCCAUGUUUGUGCCAAAUAUGGUCACCUUAUUAUGAAAUAUUUUGAAAACUCCCUUGUUCGUAGGAAAAAUUAUAAACUUGAAAUACCAUAAAAUAAAAUAAAUUCUUCACAAAAUUGCCAAAUUUGAACUUGUGCACUAUUUAUAGAGAUUGUGCCAAAUCCUUCACUAUUUCUAGGAAUUUCUAUGAAGCAAGUAGCAGAAAUAUGAUAAAAUUGGCAAAAGUACAUUUUUGCGUCUUAUUUGUGAUAUUUGCUUCACCAAAAAAAACUUUAUUGGAAGUUGAAAAAUGAUUUUUAUUGUAACAAAUUUGGAAACUCCCUCUUUUGAAAGCUAUCUUUUUAGUGUUCAUUCUUAAAUACAAUUCUCUGAAAAUUGUGAGCAAUUUUUAUUAAAUUAGUAAGGUAAAUAGGGAUUUAUAGACAUUUUUUGCUAGAGUUGGACCAAGAGGGAAUUUGAUUAGGAAUUUCUAAAGAAGUCCUGUAUAUAUCAAAUAUAGAUUUAAAUCAAAGAUACAUAGAAAAACUUCAUGUAUAAUUAUGAAAAUUGGAUAUUAAAUAGGUCUGGAGAUCUGAUGAAUUUAUGAACUUGAAUCAACUCAACUAGAUUUAAAAUGAAUGUUCUAUGAAUUUAUAAAAUUGACUAGAAUUGCAAAAAGGUAUUCGAUACUGUUCAGGCGGGCUAAACAGAUCGACCCAAUUACUUAAAAUACCAAUCUGGCGCGCUUAAGGAGAUACGCACACAUGUCACACUGGCUCGACCCAGCUUUGUCUCUACGGGCUGGGAUGCGACGUCAAUGGCACACUAUUGAGGUGGUCCCACUCGUUAGGAUGUCAUCCAAGUAACAGUAAAUGGGCUUUUAUCCAACGGAAUGCAUCGUUUGGGCAUUUGCGAGGCCGGGGCCUAGUAAAGAGGGGAAAAGUGAGGAACGUGAAGGUGGCAGAGCAAAACUAAGUAGAACUAAAGAAUCAGGGGCACCAAAAUAGAAAGCCCUAAAUCCUAUGAACGUGCUCCUCGAUGAUCACGUAGACACUUCUCAAAUUGCUCAUGGUCGUAUGUUAAUACUAUUUGAGUCUAUUUUAGUUACGAUUUAUCUUAAAUUUAUAAUAGUGAGACUCAGCUGCCUCCUACUCCUCCAAAACAAAACCUAGGGUUCCUGCCUCUCGCCGGCACCACCGCAGGUCCGCCUCGCCUCCGGUGGUCCUAGGCAGGGCCGGCCCUGAGGGGGGGCAGGGGGGGUGGCCGCCCCGGGCCCCCAACAUCGAGGGGUCCCCUCUCAAGUAAAGUAGCCCAGGGAUUCUCCCCAAAAAAAGAAGCGACUAGGACUGGGUCGUAGCAUGGCUUCAGGCCUUUUGCAUGUUCAGCUUCAUAUGGCCCAAGUGGAUUGCUGGGCUAGGUAGUCAUGCAUGUACGCAUUAUUUCUCGGAAACAAAAACGCACGCACUAUGGCUGAUCGAUUAAAUCAGAUCAGAUCAGAUCAGCUCGAAGAGGGGCAAUGUAUCACGCACGGCGUUGGCGAUCGAGGGAACGAAUUCCGCUUCAGGCCGAACGCCCUUGCCAUCACCUGAUCGCCGUCUAGUCUCGCCUCUCGCGACCUUCAUGCGCAGCAGUAGCCAAGAGACGAGAGGGGACAAGGCCUGCUUAGACUGGAUCAGAAUCUAUCAGUUGAUUUUUAAAUCCGUGUUCUACAGCUCUAAGGUAGCCUCUCUGGUAGUCCCUAGUUCCUAAAUUUGUUGUUUGUUAAUUGAAGUCGAUGCCCAGAAUUGUUUUUCACAAUCCAAUCAUUGGAUAGGAUUAGUGUGUUGAAAACUGCACUAUCUGUGCUUCAUUUAAAGAUGACACAAAAAUUAAUUUUGUAAUUGUUGUGGAUUGCAUUCCAAUCGAACCCAAUUUGCUCAGUUUGGAUUAAUGGUUGCUGAGGUAUCACCAGAAUGGUGCUGCUGUACAAGUAUUUUCAAAGUUGAGCAGAUAUUGUUUUUGCGACUUUUAACAAAUUUCUAUUCGCAAGAACUAGUCUAUAUUCAGAUAUGACCAGUUUCUUAUUACAACAUGCAUGAAAGACGUAGAUAACUUCAUGUUGAAUAUCCUGAUUUUCUUAUUUUCUUCAUUUUGUAAAAUGGAUCAUGAUUUGUAGCCUAGAAAUUCAUAUAUGACGUGCUUUGGAGUUCAAAUUAAAUGGAGAAUCCAAGCUAUGCUUGUAUAUUUACCUAAUAAUAAUUAAUGGGCUAGCUCUAGGAGAUAUUUAUACAUAUACUAUUAGGUAUUAGGAUGUUCAAGAGCCAAGAACAAUACAUAAAAAUUUUAUGUUUAUAUUAAAGGGGCCUCGGGUUUUACUUUCGCCCCGGGCCCCCGAAUUGUCAGGACCGGCCCUGGUCCUAGGGCCAUGGGGGACGCGGUGGAUCCUGACAAGGGCCGGCGGAAGGGCUCCGUUUUUAGUCGCUUCUUUCAGUUGGGUUUGUGUCCUGUUCAGGAAGACGAAAUAGUGGCGGCUCCCUAAAGAUGAAAUAAAGGUCUCCCCGCCUAGUCCCUGUUCCGACGGUGCGUCUAGCAUCGUUGGUGGGCGUGUGAAGGCGUAUUUUCGGCGAAUCUACCUUUGGUGGAUUUGCUUGGAUCUCAUCGUUUUUUGUCCACGUUUGUGUGUCUCCGGUUUGGAUCCUUCUGAUCUACAUUAUUUUUCAUCGGCGGCGGUUGCUGUUCUGGUGUGUUGGUCCUAUGCGGCCUUAGCACGACGACUUACCGACUAUCUACUACAAUAAGUUGUGCCCAACUCCGGCAAUGGAGUGGUGAUGACGGCAGCGUGCCUUCGGCUCGCUUCAAUACUUAUAGUCGUCGCUAGGUGGUCUAGGAUCUGGUUGUAAUUUUUAUUAUUUUCGGUGUUCGUCGUACUGCCAUGAUUGAUGAUGAUUAGAUCAAAAGUUUUCUUGCAAAAUAGAUAAAUAAUACUCCCUCCGUAAAUUAAUAUAAGAGCGUUUAGAUCACUGCUCACUUAGGUCGGCUAACGAGGAGUAAUAGUGAGACUCAAGCUUCCAUAGCGAUUCGGUACCCUUAGCCAUUCUAUUGGAUCUUCAAUGCUCCAGAUUUAGGUUUGUGAACCACCAUCGCCCCAACGCUUAUUUGGCCCUCGUUCACCUCGUUAGCCGACCUAAGCAGGUCGGAUGAACGUCAAAAGGCGAAAUCACGGAGAGCACUCCAACUCUCCCAGGUUGCGACAAGUGGCACGAGAUCACUCCAACUUCCCCAGCUUGCGUCAAGUGAGGUGCUGUAUGAGUGCCACUUGUCGCAACCUGGGAGUUUUUCCUUUUUUUGUAGAUCAGAUUAUUUAAAACGUUUUAUCUUUUAAACCAUGCGUUCAAAUCUCCAACCGCUUUCGCCGUUGGAUUUCUCGCGUCGAGAUCUUCAAAACUAGAUCCCAUGUUGAUAGGUCUUGACGAACUUUUUUUUCAUGAAAAAACCGGACGAAAAAACCCGAUGAAAAAACCGAACCGGGAACACGGUUUUUUUUCCUUUUCGAAAGAGGCACACCCAUGCCUCUGACGAAAUCACAACCUUGCCUCUCGCGGAAAAAAAACCGUGCCUCUCGCGAAAUACAAAAAACAGAAAACGUGUUUUCCCUUUUCGAAAGAGGCACGCCCGUGCCUCUCGCGAAGCACAACCGUGCCUCUCGCGGAAGCAAAACUGUGCCUCUCGCGGAAGGAAAAAGCCCAGAAAACACGUUUUUUUCCCUUUCCAAGAGAGGCAGGCCCGUGCCUCUCGCGAAAGCACAACCGUGCCUCUCGCGGAAGCAAAACCGUGCCUCUCGCGAAAGGAAAAAAAAACAGAAAACAUGUUUUUUUUCGUUUCCAAGAGGCACGGCCGUGCCUCUCACGAAAGCAGAACCGUGCCCUCGCGAAAACAAAACCGUGCCUCUCGCGAAAAAAAUACGUUUUUUUGCGCAAAAAUAUUAUUUUUUUUUCAAAAUUAUUUUUUGUCGAAAAGCUAGGGAAGACCGGUGGAAAACCAAAACAUAAAAAAACCCGGAGAAAAACCGUUUAAAAAGCCGAAAACGCGUGCGGAAAAAUAAAAAAACAAAAGCCGAAGGGAGCGCCCAGAGCGCGACACGUGGCGAAUGGCUGAGAGCGCGCCAAAUAACGCUGAUCGUUAUGAGGCUCCCGAAGAAGCGCUCGUUAAUUAGUUGCUCCCGUCAAAGGUACGCUGCUCCGAACACUUACGUCAAUGUCAAUGGUUUUUGCUCGUCAACGCCCAUGUGAACGCUCGGUUUGGCCGGCCCAUUAAGCAUCCUUCGACCGCUCACUCGCUUGAUCACUAACCAGCUCGCUCGCUCGUUUGAUCGCUGGACCGGCUCGCUCGCUCGCUUGAUCUGUAGACAAAUUUGCUUGCUCACUUUCUAUUGGUUCGGAGAAACCAGUGAUAUUCUUUGGGGGGAAAACCAAGUCCCGGUUUUUAUGGGCUAAAAAACAUAAAUUAAAAAAAUAUUUGUUGAUUUGAAAAAAGUUCAUCAUGGUGAAAGAGUUCACAAAUUUGAAAAAUAAUUUCGUGGAUAUGAAAAUAGUUUGUGAAUUUCGACAAAAUUUCAUGAAUUUUGGAAAUGUCCAUGAGUUUUUAAGAAUUAUUUGUUUUUUUUCAAGAAUUUAGAAAAAUCUUUCCGAAUUCAAAGAAGUUCAUGAAUUUGAAAAUACUUCUGAAUUUGAAAAAGGUCCAGGAAUUAAAAUAAAAAUGAAAAUGAUAAUAAAAACAAUCUGAAAUAAAAAAAGGAAAAUAGGAAAAAAAACAGGAAAAAAUACUAAAAGAGACUAAAUAGAAAAAAGAAGAAAACCAAAAAAGCACAGGCACAAUCUUCUAGAAUGUUCACAAAACCUUUUUUUUAGAAACACCGGUAAUUUUAUGCAUACUCAUAACAAUUGAAGGUACACUGAUUUGGAUCUAAGAUCCAAGAAAAUACAAAGUAACUCCGAUGACUAAGUGUUACAAUGACACCUCUUGAAAACACCUUCUUCAAGGUAACAAUCUUUGCUCGAAGAAAUACUUCAAAGACUUCGAUAAAGAUACUGCAAUUGGACUGAAGCAACAAUUUUGUCACUCUUUUACCUACACGAACAUUACCAAUAAUGAUUUUUAAAGGUGCCACUGUUUCGGGCGUUUUCUCAUGAACCGGGCUGCUGUGGGCCGAGUGGCUGCCGAAGUGCUAUGAUCGGGCUGCUGAUCGUUGAUCUUUUUUUUUUAGCCACCGAUGUAGAAGAACACAAAUGUUGCAUGUGACCAACGUGCCUAAAAGAACGUCUUUCAAAAAUAUGUCGUUCAAGGACCUGUAAUAAUAGGCUGUUCAAAAAAGGACAUGAAAUAGUGUUGUGGAGGGAGAGACCCGUGUGUUGUAGCAGAGUGAAACUCGGGCCUGUGUGCUGGACCUUGUAGCAAUGAUUUGGCUUUGGAUAUCAUUUAGCUCUGUUUCCAAGUUACAAAUAAAACAUCCCAAAAAAACUUGUGGCUAACAAGAACUUGUUUAAACUCGUAAAUGUGUGCAUACUACAAUGCAAGUUGAUAUUAGACAUUGAUUGCAUGUACUCCUCCGUCCCAAAAUAAGCGUCUUAACUUUUACUAGUUCUAAUAUAAAUUUAUACUAAACUCAAGACUAGGGCUGGAAAAAAAGCUCGAAGCUCGCGAGCUAAAUGAGUAGCUCGUGGCUCGGCUCGAAUCGACUCGAACUCGAAGAAUAACGAGUCGAGUCGAGCUUUAGUUUAAGAUCGUUUAUAGACCAAGUUGAACGAGCCAAUCUCACGAGUACUCGUGUAACUCGUUAGGCUCGAUACAAAAGAUCAGCCACUCCCAAAACAAAAAAAAAUCAGCCACUCAGCACUCUAUGUCUCAGGCGCACAACACAAGGCCUAGCCGUUGAAGGCCCAAUCGCCUAGGAGACUCAUGCGUUAUAAGGAAACUAUUAUUGUUUAGUGAUAUAUAUGUUUAAUAUAUACAUAAUCAUUUUUAUAAUAUAUGAGGGUUUUAUGAUCAUAUCUUUAACGAGCUUAACAAGCUAAACGAGCCAGCUCGUGAGUUAUACGAGUCGAGCCAAUCUUGAAUUUGAGCUCGUUAUAAUAACGAGUCGAGUCGAGCUAACUCGUUAACGAAACGAGCUCUAGCGAGUCGAGCCGAGCUGGCUCGACUCGGCUCGAAUUCCAGCCCUACUCAAGACACUUAUUUUGGGACGGACGGAGUACAUUUUAGCUAGUAGUAGAUAUUAUUUGCGUGUUAAUUAUGUAAUUACCUAACAAAGAUAUUUGGUAUGGUGCAAAUUGCAUGCAUUAGGGCGGAUAUUAUUUGGUAUGGUGCUAAUUGCAUGCAUUACUAUUAUUUACGCAUUAAUUAUGUGAUUGCCACCGACGUCGAUAAUUUGUAUGAUAUUAAUUAAAUGUUAGGGCAUCUCCAAGGCGGAUCCGUAAACCUCAUGUAACCAUUCAGACCGUGCUUUCCGGACCGCGGAAGCCGUCCAACGCCAUCCUUUAUCGGUCCGCGGGACGGUCCAGAAGCGAUUAUCCGGCAAAACGGAGACAAAAGUGUGGGAGGUUUACGAGAGUCCGUACACGCGAAACGUACGAAUCCGACACCCCAGGCCCACCCAAAACCCUUUCCUGACCCCGCGACUCCAUCCUUCCUAUUUUCUCUCCUUCCUCCUUUCUCUUUUGCUGUCACCGCCGCUCCACUACCCCGACCACCACGCCACACCCCUGUCGAAAAUCUGCGUCUGCAUCAAUAAAUUCGGCGCCUAAUUAUAUUUCUUUACGGAGGGAGUACCUUAUUAGAAAUCAUACAUGUUGUGCCGCUUAUUCGAAUAUAUUACCAAAUGUUCUACUUAGACAAUUUUUUUUGCACAAUGACAUUCCAAUGCUUUUUUUUGACAAAAAUGACGUUCCAAUCCUUAUUUAUAUGUCGGUGUCACAUGUGUUAAUUUUGCAACGUAUACAUAACAUUACCCAUUAGGAUUGAGCCUCUAUCUUUACUGUAAGCCCUACGAUAUUUGACAAUCCAUCGUACACCAUUGGACAGUUUGUUUUUUUCAAAGGGCAUCCGAUGCUAUGUAGUUCUAAGCUUAUUUCUAGUUACUCGCAAGACUCCGACAGAGUAUAUCAUGUGGAAUUUCUUGUUCUUAUGGUUAGGAUGAACCGUUGCAACCUCUCGCAAUAAAUAAUUGUGCAAAAAAAAUUAUGAUCAUCACAAUAAUAUUAGGUCUUGGGACCAUGACUUAUUACAUAAUCAGUUUAUCCACUCUACAUAAAGCAGGGGACUCACAUAGACACAUGCAUAUUGGAUACUACAUUAUGGAAGGCGUGCAUGCAUCCCUAACCGAUCACACCCUUAGCUCCACCUGGGGCUCUACACGAAGUUGCUAACCUGAAAGGACUGGUCGAACGUGGCUGCAUGCUCACUGCCAGUAAACCUGAGCUUGUCACCGACGCGUUGAACCUUUUGAAAUGCAAGAAAAUCCCAUUUCACCUAUAUCCUCACGCCGCCCAAUUGGGUUAUGGAUCCGGGCCGGAUAACCCCACUGAUUAUGAUGUCAAACCGAAUCGUGUGUUGUCCGCCAGCAACCGUCACGUUGAAGUCGCACGAGGCGGGGAGGGUCACCUCAACGGCGCCCCCAUGGUUCACGUACGACUUCACGCCCAGAGCCAGGAGAGCCUGCGGGAAGUUGUUUUUCACCAAAGGUUGUACGCUGUGUCGCAGGUGGCCGCUUGGAGGAUGGAAGCCAUGAAGACAGACGAUGAGGAGAUGCUGGAUGGCCAUGGCUAACUGUUGCUGCUUACAAAUUGUAUCAAUAUAGGAAGAAGAGGAAUGGGGAAGUACGUCCAGACUGAGGCACUGGCCGCGUAUUAUAUAUGCUGCCCAACGAAAUCAAAGACAAUCGUAUUUUAAUUGCAUUUAUUUUGUUUCCAAUUAGCAUUUCAUCAAUCAGCUCACCAAAUAUGCUAAAUAUAUCGUCCAAUUAAACUGUACUUAAUUUUGGCCUAGUCAAACAUUUCAUAGUUUGCCAAAUUACCUUCCCUAAAUCUGCAUAAUCAAUACGUACCAUAAUAUGAGAUUGAAAACAUAUCCUAUAUACAUCAAUAGUUCACAUCCUCAUUAUUUUUAUUAUCUUAUAACACAUGCACAUAUGCUGAUAUGCAACAUCAUCAAACGUCCACCACAACAUGUAUGAAAUUAUUUUAUUAUUAUUAAUUAAUCCUCACCGAUUCUUUUUAUUUGUUUUGAUUGAAUACAGUACAGACGCAAGCUCUCAUAUACAUGUGCAUACACUCACCCCUAUGAACGCACACACUCACACCCUACCCCUAUGAGCACCUCCGAAAGACUGAGCCGGCAUAUCAUCUUAAAAUUUACGAAGGCACCAUAGGCACCUCGUCGUCGACGGGAAAGUUUCUCCCACCGAAUGUGCAUCGCCGGGAAUCCACAGUCCCUCUAACCAUUCAACCACAGGUUGGUUCGACUAAUUUCUUUUUAUUUCAACAUACACACAUAAGCCAUGCACAUAUGCCACCUUAUCGAAGGCCCACCCAACAUGCAUGGGGGAAAAUCCAUUAUAUUAUUUUACUACCUAUAUUCAACAAAUAUUUUCAACUAUACAAUAUAUAAUAUGUAUUCUAAGUUUUCUCAUAUACUAUUAAUUCAAAUGUUUCUUACAAUCAAAUCUUAUUGAAAUAUAUUGCAACAUAUUCUCGCAGCAACGCAUGGGGUAUCAUCUAGUUUCACUAGUAUACAUAAUCGAGCAUUGAGGUGGUUCUUGUACACAGACGACCAGCGGCUGUUUUCAGUUCCGCCUCAAAGCCUAUGUCGCUAAUACUCUGCACGGAGUCGGCUGUUGUGGAAACUACCUCCAAUAUCGUCGACAACACAUGCGGUUUUGUCCUGCUUCCAAUACCCUUCUUGCCACAGGCAAUUUUGUACGAAUAACCGCCUUCAUUUUAUAUGUUAGGGAUAUAAAUGUUGUCUUUUAGGUACUCGCCUCUACUAAUCAUAGUCAGAUGAAAUACUCCUCUAUUUUCGUAUUACUUAACCUGUCACGUGAUAAAAUUGAAAGUAAUUGUUCAAAUAAUCAUAGUCAUACAUAAUUCAUUUCCACAAAGCUUAGCAUCUCUUCUCUUAAAUUUUUCUUGUGCAAUGCAACUAAAAUAAAAAACAACUGCAAGCAAAAAUAAUAAUUUAGAUCUUGUUGGGUUAUAUUUGACAUAAUUAUGUUCGGGGGUCAACACAUAGGUAUAAAAUCUAGAAGGAAGAGAGACAAAGAUUCAGACCUCAGAUAACGCUAAUUCACCUUAAUUUUUCACAUUAAAGGUGUAACUGCUUUGACAAGCAUGAGUUAAAGAAUUUUGUUUAUGCUUCACCAAAACAAAAAUUCAAAGCUAGCGAUGCCUAUGAUACAAGUAAAGGCUACCAGUUUGUCAUUGGUCUAAAACAAAAACUUAACUAUACUCCCUCCUUUCUGGUUUACUUGGCCAAUCUUAGAAAUCUCGUCAACUAAAAAUCGUCAUAUAAGCAUAAAAUCGCUUACCCUAGAGGCAACAACUAUCCAUAGAAAAAUAUAUAAUCUGUGGCGAAAGAUUGGGAGCUCACCGUGCCGUAGAUUCGAAGGCCUCGGUGGAGGUCAGUGGCGGUGACGAUCCAAUGCAGCCAUCGUGGUGCCAUCGCGCAGCCGCCGAUGGAUGGAUGACACUGCGGAUGGAAAGAGCUUCAACUGUGGCGCUGCGGACGUCUGGAUUUACCACCGCGACACGAACGAGCGGAUCACCACGUUGUCGUGGACUAGGGUGGAAGGGUCAAAGGCUAUCAAAGGCAGGAAAGGGGAUCCUAGUAAAUUUGUGCUACAAGUUGUUCUGGCCUACACCGUGAACUGUGUUUCUUUAACUAAGGUCCUCAAGUAGCUUACUUCAGUAAUUAUGUUAUGGAAAAAUUCUGGUGCGACGUAUACAAUGGACAACGCAAGGUGCCUUGGGCCAGCUAGGAGAAGCUCUCGGUGCCAUGGAAAAGUUGAGGUGUUGGCUUUAGGGAUAUGGAGGCUUUUAAGUAAACAUUUUGGCUCGGCGAGGUUGGCAGAUCCUAAAUGAGUAUGUUUUUUUGUAGGACGAGCUACACGGUACCCUAUAUCCUCACCGUCCAAACUGGACCAGGUGCGUAUGGAUGUGUGCAAAGAUUCGUUCUCGAUGCAGGCUGUUUUGAGCCAUGCAGUGUCAUUAGCAGCUGGUACAGCUUUCUAGGCACGCAUGGCAGUGUAGUGGGGCAGUAGGGUAUAGGUCCUAGGUUCCUAGGAGUUUGUCCGCAUGGCGCACAGUACUAGUCACCAUUGCUUGUCCAGAAGAAUCUGCAUGUGCUACAAUUUUCUUGAAUGUAUUUUUUAUAUGCAUGGCUACACGGUGCAUUGUGUGAUGGCAUUGGGUUUCCAUAUUUCUUAGUUUUCAAUUUAUCUUACUGCGAGUGCAAGAUGUCGGCCAGGCUACAUGAAUUUCUUUCUUGAGAGUUAAGAGAGAGAGGUGAAGACGGAAUGAGAAUGCUUGUGUUUUCAUGUAAGAAUGCUAUUAAAUUAAAAAGGAGAAAACAUGAGGAGAAAGUGAGACUGUUGUGCAUGCAUGUCAGGAGACUUUAAUGCAUGAGAGAGAGACGGGGAAGAGAGAUGUGCAGCGAGUUCUUUGUCCUUUGUUCGCAUGCGGACAUGAUAAAGAAAGAGCCUACUGCUACUACAGCUAAUCACCUUGGAUUGCUUUCAAAAAAGUCUGUCACAAGCACCAAUCUCAAAGGCAUUGAACGGGUUGGAUAGAGGGUACCGUGUAGCUUGAGCUAUGCUAGAACUUUGCGAUCCUAAAUUGUCCUGAGUCACUCUGUGGAAGUUUUAAGAGCCUGCUAUUUCAGGCACACUAAUUUGCUGAUUGCUUUUAGUUCCCCUCGUCAUGGUUCCUGACAUGGCGCGUAUUUUACAUGAAAGGAAGUUGCUCAAACAGGGAAUCAUCUGAAGAAUCCUCAAUGAAGAAAAGGUCGAUAUCUAGCAAGAUGAUUUGUUAUGUUGGAAUAGUUGUAGGCACCCUUUGGGAAGGCAAAAGGAAACUAACAUUUGUUUUUUUAGAUAAAAGGUGAUAGCCCGACUUUAUAAAUAAAGCCACCAGGCAGAGUCACAGCCAACCACGAAACCACAGAAGUUUAACAAAGCCGAAAAAGAAGUGCAGAUACAAGGCAUCCAGCCUAAAUGGCACGCAGGCCUCCAAACCAACAGCCAAAACACUAAGGAAGAUCCCGCCUAGAAUGCCGCAACAGGGUGGACGCCGUAGAUUUCAUUCUGGAUAGCAUAUCAUCGAAAGCCUCUAGAUCCCCAUCCUUAAUCAAUGAUCUCCACUGCUGCAAAAAGAUAGUGGCUUUAAAUAAGCAGUUGACUGGGUUAGUUGGAAAAAUGUGUUCAAUAGUGAACUUGUUCCUAGUAGUCCAGAGCGCCCAACAAAUCGCAGCCCAGCCCACCAUGAAAACCCUCUUAGAACGGCCUACUAGGGAAUCGAUGCACUGCCUCAAAUCACCAAAGGAGGAAGGGUUCCAAUUAACCCCAAGCCAAAGUCUAAUGCAACUCCAAAUGAAUUUAGCCAAAGAGCACUGGAAAAAGAUAUGCUCAGUAUUUUCAAGGGCACCGCAAAGCUGACAUGAGUCCGAGCCCGGACCAUUCCUCUUUUUAAUCUGAUCAGCCGCAGGAAGUUUACGACGGUGAGCUUGCCAAAGGAAGAUCUUGAUCUUGGAAGGGAUGCGGGCAGACCAAAUGUACUUAAACUUAUCCGUGCGGGUACCAACGAUAAGUUUCAAAUACGCCGACUUUACCGAAAAACGCCCCGAAGAGGAGUGAGGCCAAACCACGUAGUCCUCUUCCUCCGAGAGCAGGGGGAAGCAGGCAAUAAGUCGAUGCCAAUCUUCCAACUCUACUGGAGAAAGAGAGCGCCGGAAAUGUAGAACCCAACCCUGAGCCGAGAGCUCAAAGAUAGAGAUCUCGGGAUCAACAUAGAACGAGAACAGAGUCAGGUGGGCCACCGCCAACGCGGUGUCCCCAACCCACCAGUCUAACCAAAAACGCGUGGACUUACCGUUACGGACAACGAACUUCACAAGGGACUGGAACGCCGGCCUAAUGCUAACCAGCUGGCGCCAGAAUUGAGAGCCACCACAGGCGGUAGCGAACAUAGGGCUGGAAGAAGGGAAAUAUUUCGCUUUUAGGAGAUUAAGCCAAGCGGGACGUUCGUCGAGGAACAUAAUCUUCCACCACCAUUUUAGCAGCAGGCAUUUAUUCAUGAUUUUGGUGUUAAUGAUGCCAAGACCCCCCAUGCUCUUAGGUCUACAAAUGAGAUCCUAUAUUUGCGUUUAUUAUCUGAGGAAUUCCAGAAGAAAGCACCCCUGUGCUUAUCGAAGCCCGAGUGCGUCCCUUCGGACAGCAGGUAGAAACCCAUAAGGAACAUCGGGAGCGAGGAGAGGCAGGAGUUGGUGAGGGAAACCUUGCCCGCUCUGGGUAUUGUACCAGCCUCGCCACGACAGAACUCUAUUGCCAACUUUAGUCACAACCGGGGCAAAAUCUUUAGCCAACAACUUAAGAGGGGAGAUGGGCAGGCCCAAAUAUUUCAGAGGGAAAGACCCGAGAGAACAGUUCAGAAGGUGUGCCACCCGCUGCGCCUCCACAUCAGAUACCCCAGUCACAAUAGCCUCGCUCUUAGAGAAGUUGAUUUUAAGGCCCGACAAAGCUUCAAAGCAUAGAAGAAUAAAUUUCAGAUUUGAGAUGGAAUGAUCAUUAAGCUCCACCAAAAUGAUGGUGUCGUCCGCAUAUUGUAAGUGAGAAAUGCCAUUAGGAAUGAGAUGAGAACUAACAGGCGAAAUAUGUCCAGCAGCCGCUGCACGAGCCAGAAUGCGGGAGAGAGCAUCAGCCACAAAGUUGAAAAGCAGGGGAGACGCCGGAUCCCCUUGUCUCAAACCCCUACCAUUCGUAAAGAAAUUACUGGUCUGCCCGUUAACAACCACCGCCGUAUGACCCCCAGAGACAAGUUGCAUCAGACGGUGGACCACCGAGCCAUCGAAACCCUUGGCCAACAACACUUGGCGAAGGAAGCUCCAACUCAUCGAAUCAUAAGCCUUUUCAAAAUCGAGCUUGAGAACCAGAGCCUUGGUGUUCUUGCUGCGAAGGUCAUGGAUAAUUUCGUGGAGGCACAACACCCCGUCCAGUAUGUAUCUUCCCUUAAUGAACGCGGAUUGGAAAGGGCUAAUGAACUGAUGAGCGAUUGGGGAAAGUUUAACAGCCAUACCCUUGGCUGGGAUCUUAGCAAAGUUGUUAAUGAGAGCAAUAGGCCUGAAUAGGGAAAUUAAGUCAGCGCCUUUGACUUUAGGGAUGAGGGUAAGGACUGCGUAGUUCAGUCUCGAGAUGUCUACAGUCCCCAACCAAAAGCCUUGAGUAAUAGCCAUGAUUAGGCCUUUUAAUUGAGGCCAGAAUCACCGGAAGAAAGGGAUGGAGAAGCCAUCAAGGCCAGAUGCUGCAUUAUAAUUGGCAGAACGAAUCGUCUCAAAAAUUCCGUCCUCCGAAGGGGGAAUUAGAAGGCUUCCAUUAUCAGCGCUCGAAAGUUGAUCACGCGGGGACCAAAAGGACGCAGCCAACUUAAAGCCUAGCUCAGGUUUAGUCGCUAGAAGGGUAGAGAAGAAGGAGACCACAUGCCGCAAAAUCACCGGUGGAUCAGAAGUCCUGACCCCAUCAAUAACAAGGCUAUCAAUAAAGCACCUACGCCGUCUACCAUUGGCAAUAGCAAAGAAAUACACCGUGGGCAAGUCCCCCUUGAGGGUCCAGUUGAUAGUACCGCGUUGUUUCCAGUAAAUUUCCUCCUGCCUAUGAAUGGCCAACAACGCCUUUUCUAGACCAUAUCUGGAAUGCCAUUCAUCCGGGGACAACCCAACUAAAUCCGCACGUUCGUCUAGAACCCCAAUCUGAGCCACCAGCCUUGCUUUGUUGCACCUUGACUUAGCAUAGUGAUUUUUGGACCAGCCUUUAAGGAAUCUACGCAGAAAAUAAGAGCAUUGAUGCCAGUCAUCCAUCGGGCCAAAAGACCGACGGUUCGAAGAAAGGAAGGACAAAAAUUUUUGAGCCACCAAACCAUUGAAGCCCUCGACUUGAAGCCAGGAAGCAUCAAAAUGAAACCUCGAUAAACCCAUAGGGCGUAAACCAUCAUCUAGAAUCAGAGGUGUGUGAUCAGAGCAACACAGGCAAGGGCCUUAAGACUAGCAUUAGGAAAGAGAGGGUCCCAUCUCAGGCAAACAAAAACUCUGUCAAGAACUGAGCGAAUGGGGGGGGGGGUGUUGAUGAUUAGACCACGUGUACCGGGCUCCGACCCUAGGUAUCUCACGAAUAGCCAUAUCCCUAAUGAAGGCAUUGAAUGCAUCAGCCAAGGGCCACGAGAAGUUAGGAGAGCUCUUGUCGGAGGGACAUCGAAGCAGAUUAAAAUCACCCCCAAUCAACAGAGGGAGCUGGCAAGAUUCAAUCUUAAUACUAAGCUCAUCCAAAAAAGCAUACGACAUAGCAUGGUCACCCGGACCAUAAACCACUAAAAUUUCCACCAAGGAGUUGAGAGAUCGAAUGGAGACCACCGUGCUAGCCCAAAAAAUGCCAUGGUCGAAAGCCACGAAAUCAAAAGUAUCUUUUUUGGUACCAAGUAAAAGCCCGCCCGAGUGACCAGCCGAGGCCACAUAAUUCCAAUGGAAUCUGUCUAUCCCAGCAAUAGCCGAUAAUUCACUAGCAGAAAAGGAAGAUUUGAAAGUCUCGACAAGGCCAAUAAAAUCUACAUUCUCAGAUCGAACUAGGUCCUUAAGUUGGUCUCUGCACCCCCUAGCACAGAAGUCUCGACAAGUUUUUGAUACGGAGACUCGACCUGCUCGGGGCUACGCAGGAUUUUGAUCGUUUCCCUACCCCGCGUUUAGAGACCUUCGGGGGAGCAUGACUCCUAUCAUCUCCCCCCUCGUCCCCACCAGCCACCACCAGUGGGGCGCCCGAUCCCUCCCUGGCCUCCUUUGCUUUCGCAAUAUCAGCCUGAGCGAUAUCGUUCGCCCUAAUGAUACCAAGAAUAGAAGAAGGAGAACCCAAACUAGAAUCUAAACAAAUACCCACAUCAUUUAAAAUAUUAAGCAAGUGAUCAUCCGAUUGAGAAGGGAGAACUAAACAAACAGGAGAGGGAAUCGGGGGGGGGGGAGGGGAAGGGAGGAAAGGACGAACCUGCAGAGGGCAGAUCCCGAGCCGCCGCACGCCGAGCAGCCCGAUCGACCACCCGCUCACCACUGUUGGAGACACGGCCCCUCUUGCGAGCCGUGGACGCAGGCGACCGCAUAGGAACGAGCCGCGUGCGACUGGGAGAAGCCACAGAAGACGGACCCGAGGCCAUACCUAAAUCAGCCUCCAGCCGUCGGCAAAACCCAGCCGCAGACUGCCUAGAGUCACCAGAGGCACGACUCUUGGCGGAGAACUUCUUGACCGAGGAUUUCUUCUUCUUUUUGAGCGCCGCAGGACCCGCCGGGGGAAGAUCUUCAAUGCCUGACAGGGAGGGAGAGGCAGGCGAGUAGGGAGGUUGGAGCACAUCGCCGAGAAUGCCGUGCCCUUGGUCCCACCAGCAGCCGCCUCCUCCCCACCCAGAUCCGGCGCCGAGCCCUGGACCCCCUUGCCAGCAGGCGCGCUCUCCUUGAGCAUGACCUGAUCUUCAGGAGAGAGGCCAUCCCACUCCGACUGGGUGAACAGUGGAUGAGACCCGCGCAUGGAGUCAUCGGGGCAGCCAUCCCCCUCCUUGCUCUUGUCGCCAUUGUCAGAGGCCGGAGGCGGGGGAGGAGGAGGAGGCGACACCGGGCCUGAGGCCCCCUCCACCCUCACACGGAGCCGGAAGCCACCAGCCGCAGGGAAGACAUCGAGGGAGCCAUGAAUGCACAGGGGGUCGACGCACCAGACCCGGAGCCGGGACGGCCCCAGGAUCGCCAAAGAAUCUUGGUCAACAUCAAUGGGUUUGCCAAUAAGAACUCCGAAGGCCAUCAGGAAAGCCGUGGUACGCAUGCUCGGAGGGACAUCUUCUACCAGCACCCACACAUCAGACAAGGAAGAGAUAGACUUGGAUCCAUUAGAGGCCGCUUUUACCGAGACCACGAGUUGAUUCAGAGGCAAAGUGAAGCUAGAGCAAGAAGAUAUCAUCUGGAGGCUCUCUUUAGAGGGGAAAGUCGCUGCAAACUCGAAUUCAGAGAGUUGGCGGAUUUGCCAAUCCCAUCCACCCUCGUCCCAUAACUUAAGCUCAUCGAGAAGGAUCUGAGGAGAGAUGCGUUUAUCCUGGACGGAGAUAAUGCCAACAUUGGACAGGGAAGGGAUGGGGGCAGCCUCAGGGAUCUCCCUAUCAAGAGCGAAGAACGAGCAUCCAGGAAGACCGGUGCCAUAAUGAACAAACGAAGGAGGCUUGACGCGAUUCUAACAGUCCACCGUAAGGUCGCCGUCUUCCCGGCAGAUGAGGCAGAAGGGAGGGUUUUCACACCGUGAUUGGAAGUGGCCAGGUCGAUGACAUGCAAAGCAAGUGAGGAUGGGGUUGGAGACUUGGGAUUGGGGAGGGAUGCGACCAUGAGGAGGAGGAGGGAGGAUGCCAUCCCCAGCCGCAGCAGGCCCAGAGCCGGAGCCCCGCCCCAUCAUGGUGCCGACGAGACGCCGAGACGGAGCCCCCGCUGCGCCUCUGGGGAAGAAGCGGGAUGACCCGCCCCCAGCCUGAGCCCGCACCGGAGCGCCACCCCGGGAAGCAGCACCCAGCGGAGGGGGCGCCAGAGCGGGCCCCGACGAACCCUCUCGACUGGUCGCCGCCGCCACCUCCCAGGGAUCGGCCGCCGCCGAAGGAGCAGCAGAGGCAGGGAGAGGGGGCGCCGACGGACCCGACCCGGAAGCAUGAGGAGACACACCAACGGACACCGCCGCCGACCCCGCUUCCGGAGCGAUCGAGGCCUAAAGCUUCGCGCGGAGAGCCGCCUCAUACUCCAGAUCCGCAUCCACAUGGCCAGAUCCCCCAUGGCCCCACUUCUGCCCAGAGAUCGCCUCACUUGAGGACGCACGAGAGCGACACCACCACAACAAAGGGGAGGGAAAGGGGAGGAGGGGGAGUAGAUCUGCCGAAGCGCCGGAUUGGGAAACGGUGGCGGAGCAGAUCUGAAGAGGAGGCAGGAAAACCUAGGAAUGGGGGAGCCGCACCUCUCCGCACCCAUAAGUACCCCGACCGAGCCAGGCCCGAACCGGUACACGGCCUAACAUAAGAGGUGGGCUGGACCUGGGCCGCCCGCAGCCCAGGGUCCACAGAAGGAAGAGGGGGGAAUUCAGAAAGAGACGCCAGGGCCAAGGCCAAAACCGGCCCACCAGGCCCAGUAGCACCCACCGGGGCCCGCACCACAGGAAGGGGCAACAGCGCCGCCCCCGCAACCAGAUCUAGGGUUGGGACCGGCAACGGCGCCGCCAUCGCAGCGGAGGACGAACUCGCAGGCGUGCCAGCUCGCGAACCCACCGGGGAGGGCGAGGCCGACACCGGCGAAGACCGCAGCGAAUCCAAACACGGGGACCAGCACGAAGCAUGACGCCGCCCGCGCGAGACGUGGUGCCACCCGUUCGGCUCCACUGAAGGCCGGACUGGCCGCCCCAGCCCACCGGGCGCAAACUUGCGCCGGCGAGCGGCCGCCGCAGCCACGGGGGGAGAGCACGUCGGGGACGAGCGCGGUGGGGGAGAGGAAGCCUCAGAAUCCGAGUCGGAGCCGUCCGAAUCUAGAGCCCAGAACUUGUUAGUCCAAAGAGGGGCGAUGAGAAUAGAGCGAGGAGUCGAGGCCAGAGAGCAAGAGGGUGAUGCGCGGGGAGCCGGAGCGAAGCCCGGAGGAGAGCGCGGAGGCGAUGGGGAGGAGGAGGAUGCACGAGGCCGGGGCGCCGCCGGAGCUUCGCCAGUCACCGGAGACACCGCGAGGGGGAGGGGGGGAGGGGAGGGAGGAGCCAUCCUAUGUCUUCAAUUCUCCCGCAUCACCCUGUGCCCGCUCUUCUCCACGCAUGGGAGCCACUUGAUCCACGCGAGCACCUCUCGGAGGAUGAAUUUGAUGGCGUAUUGAGUUUAAGACACCCCUCACCAAACUAACAUUUGUUAAGUGUCUGAUCUUCUAUUCACGGGCAAUAAACGGUGGAACGAGAACCUUAUGUACAAGUAUUUGAUAUCCUUUGUACCCAAUAUGUAUCUUAGCAAAUUUUUGGCUAUGACCACAACUUUGAUUUUCAUUUGGUUGGUUGCAACUGUUUGGCAUGCCGAUGGCUCCUUCCCAACUUUACUUCAUUUUAGUCAAAGUUGGCAAACUCACAGGCACACAAAACCUUGACCAAUAUUUUGGCUAGCCAAACAUUUGAUGGGGAAACUCUACACUCAAACAAAACAAAUUCUAUGUUACUAAUUACUAUUCAGUUACCACGCCAUCGCUCAAUCAAAUCAAUGAGAUUCAUCCACAUCAUUUUUGCCGUGGUGACUUGUCCCGCUGCUAUAUGCUCUUUUACUAUUGCCGCCAUUCUGCAAGUGACAUAUCAAAUCAGGGCAUGCAAUUAGAGAUGGAGGCAAAUAACAUGUUGCGGAUUUUUACCCGUUGAGAGGGCAAUAGCUUUGUCGCUCAGCCUCGACACAUCUUGCAAUAGUUGCUGAUAUAAGAGCUGAAAGGAUCCAAAGCAUUGGUUGGAAAUAUCGAGCUUUUUGCGUGGAAAAUGGAAUUGCUUUGAUCAUCGAGGAGAGACUCAAACAGAUUAAAUGAUUUACUUUCUGCAAAAUCACCUGGUGAGAUCCAGCCUAUCCCUAAGCACGACACGACCUAGUCUUAGCUCGAGGGUGCCGACAUGGAUUGCCUUUACCACGGAGAUACCGAUCUUGGCUCGAAGCCUGGCACCCAAAGGCUGGUCGAGAAUGAUUAACGGACUGCUCCAGGAUCAUGCAUGGUGGAGUUUCUCUUAGUGUGCUUGUAUGAGGUACUCUGUUUNNNNNNNNNNNNNNNNNNNNNNNNNNNNNNNNNNNNNNNNNNNNNNNNNNNNNNNNNNNNNNNNNNNNNNNNNNNNNNNNNNNNNNNNNNNNNNNNNNNNNNNNNNNNNNNNNNNNNNNNNNNNNNNNNNNNNNNNNNNNNNNNNNNNNNNNNNNNNNNNNNNNNNNNNNNNNNNNNNNNNNNNNNNNNNNNNNNNNNNNNNNNNNNNNNNNNNNNNNNNNNNNNNNNNNNNNNNNNNNNNNNNNNNNNNNNNNNNNNNNNNNNNNNNNNNNNNNNNNNNNNNNNNNNNNNNNNNNNNNNNNNNNNNNNNNNNNNNNNNNNNNNNNNNNNNNNNNNNNNNNNNNNNNNNNNNNNNNNNNNNNNNNNNNNNNNNNNNNNNNNNNNNNNNNNNNNNNNNNNNNNNNNNNNNNNNNNNNNNNNNNNNNNNNNNNNNNNNNNNNNNNNNNNNNNNNNNNNNNNNNNNNNNNNNNNNNNNNNNNNNNNNNNNNNNNNNNNNNNNNNNNNNNNNNNNNNNNNNNNNNNNNNNNNNNNNNNNNNNNNNNNNNNNNNNNNNNNNNNNNNNNNNNNNNNNNNNNNNNNNNNNNNNNNNNNNNNNNNNNNNNNNNNNNNNNNNNNNNNNNNNNNNNNNNNNNNNNNNNNNNNNNNNNNNNNNNNNNNNNNNNNNNNNNNNNNNNNNNNNNNNNNNNNNNNNNNNNNNNNNNNNNNNNNNNNNNNNNNNNNNNNNNNNNNNNNNNNNNNNNNNNNNNNNNNNNNNNNNNNNNNNNNNNNNNNNNNNNNNNNNNNNNNNNNNNNNNNNNNNNNNNNNNNNNNNNNNNNNNNNNNNNNNNNNNNNNNNNNNNNNNNNNNNNNNNNNNNNNNNNNNNNNNNNNNNNNNNNNNNNNNNCCAUAGUGAUUCUCAAGAAUCCGUAGAACAAGUAAAUUCAGUUAUCUACAUUGAUUCAGAUGUGUCAAGCCUAUGUUCUCCUCCUAUGCUUCAUUCUUCAAGGUGUUGCUGUUGCUGCUGAUAGAGGCGAGAUAUAUAUGGGGCUACGUUGAAAUUUGUCACAGUAAGUAUCCGCUCAUAAUAGCAGUCUUUAUAUCAUGUUUGGUCUUCUCAUCCUUCUGUUUUUCCAUUUACUACUACAGCCUCAACAAAGCCUCACCUUCCAUGCAGUACAAUUUAUUACUUCUCCCUAUAGUUGAUCCAAUGCCAAAAGACAAACACAAGAAGGCUAGAGCCAAAAUACUCAAACUUCUAGCACCCAGCAACAUCUGGUCACCGCGCAGCGCUGGAUCCGCCUCCACCGGACUAAUAUAUCCUCUGUUUCUGAUCUUUUUAAUCGGCUAGAUUAGUGAUAGCGGCAGUUCUAGUGGAGUGAUAGGGCUAGGCGCCGACAAGCAAUUGUUGUUUAGGCCAGGUCUUCUUGGAGGAGACAUAUAAAGCCUCGAGCGUAGACUCCCUGUACCCCACUCUACAAAUCCCAGAGACAUCUUGGUGAGAGCAUCAUAGCUCGAGACACCAUCAGUGACUAGGCCAUCGACCACCCCACUGUCAGUAGGAAGGGAGAGGUGAGAACCAUUGUGAUCUGCUGUGAGACCUAUUUCAGAGUUUCCAACGGGUUCUCCCUGAACAAUAUCAUCCACUUCUUGAGUGCCAAGUAAAUCUGCCACCAUAUAUGUUUAACAUCAGACCACAUUAUAGAGUUUCUGUAGUUCCACAUGCGAUGGAGUAUUAAAAUAUAGGGUAUGUUCUGCUCGACCGUAGUGGUUUGGUUAAAAGAAAGUCACGAUGUCAUGGUAAAAAUAUGAACCCAAAGAUGUAAAAAAUUAUAGGAGAUCCCCGAGGAGGGCCCUAACGUCAUCCAUGACGCACACGGGGGCUGCCUCCUUGAGCUGGUAGGACACACGUCGGCCAGCGAAGCUGGCCUUGCUGCACACUCCACCGGCCAAGUCUUGAAUACCUGACAAGGCUACUAGCUUAGCCCAGUACAGGGCUACACUUAGGGCCAUCAUCAUGACGGCCUGUGAGGCACGAGGCAAGACGGGACGACGACCAUAAAUAAAGGCAUCAGGGUGGUGCGGCGCGUCACGUCCGGCGCAGUGUCAGGUUAUCUCCUGACUGAUCGACAGAGGCAAGUGGACGAAGCGCGACGAAUAUCCUCCUUUGUACAACGUACUAUAUUUAUUAACAUGACCAAGUGUGGUACCCCCGGAUCUAUAUAAGGGGAGGGCCGUGGUUGAAUAGAGGAGAACUUUUGCAUACUCUAGCAACCCCACUCCCUCAUAGGAGUGCUGAUAGAGGAGAGAAGGUACAGAGAGAAGAUACAAAGGUGUUUAGGCACUCUAGCUAGUGCCCCGACCACCUCCUAUGACACCCUGACCACCUCUUUUGUACACCCAAACACUUGUAUCCUUGAGCUUAUGUGAAAUUAGAUAAUGCCCCGCGCGUUCCUGAGGAUUUUUUCAUAAAUAUUUUGAGGAAGGCCAGGAUCCAAACUUAUGUGCCAAAUCUCUACAUGUGACUUGCACAUUCUACAAUACCGACGAUCUACAUUAACAUAAGGUCAAGAGGCCAACAUAUGCAUCACAAUAGAGGUUUGCAGAAAAAGUACUGAUGAUAUAUAUGUACUUUUGUAUGACUCAAAACACCUAGAAGUAUGAGAAUGUUUCUCAUUUACAAUAGGGUGAUGAUUAUUAAGGGGGAUGUGGAUAUGGUCCGGGCAAGAAUUUUUUGUUGGAGAUUAGAAUUUUAUCAAUUCAACAUGUACGAUAUGAUUUCUCACAUACAUUUGCACGGACCAUAGAUGUUUUUUUAAACAAAAGGUAAUCCGACCUCUGCAUCAUCAUGAUAGAUGAAUAGUAGGUGCGCACCCAUCGUUAAAGUGAAGUGUGCAAAAUUACCCAAUUGUAUCAUCGUACAUGAACUGUCGUAUUCUUUAGGAUUGGUGAAGAAUCACCCUCUUCGGAGCAUCGCAUAACCGGUUGAAAGAAGAAUGAGCAUAGUCUGCAAGAUGUAAAACACAGGUAGCAAAAUUUGUGUGUAGUUUCUGUAUCAUAUACUCCUUGAGUAUAAGAUCUGAAAGGAGCAAAGUGCUACUUGCAUGGUUAAUAAAGGGACUACCUUGCACAACAUGGGAGGCCAGCUCGGUCAGGCAGUGGGCGACGUACAUGACCCUGACAUCGCGUACAUGCGGUGAGACCAGGGAAGUCGUGGCAGCGGCGAGACGGCGGCCAACAACGUGCGGAGCAAGCAGGGCCGGCCCUGAGGGGGGGCAGGGGGGGCGGCCGCCCCGGGCCCCCAACAUCGAGGGGCCCCCUCUCAAGUAUGCAAGUAGCCCAGGGAUUCUCCCCAAAAAAAGAAGCGACUAGGACUGGGUCGUAGCAUGGCUUCAGGCCUUUUGCAUGUUCAGCUUCAUAUGGCCCAAGUGGAUUGCUGGGCUAGGUAGUCAUGCAUGUACGCAUUAUUUCUCGGAAACAAAAACGCAUGCACUAUGGCUGAUCGAUUAGAUCAGAUCAGAUCAGAUCAGCUCGAAGAGGGGCAAUGUAUCACGCACGGCGUUGGCGAUCGAGGGAACGAAUUCCGCUUCAGGCCGAACGCCCUUGCCAUCACCUGAUCGCCGUCUAGUCUCGCCUCUCGCGACCUUCAUGCGCAGCAGUAGCCAAGAGACGAGAGCGGACAAGGCCUGCUUAGACUGGAUCAGAAUCUAUCAGUUGAUUUUUAAAUCCGUGUUCUACAGCUCUAAGGUAGCCUAUCUGGUAGUCCCUAGUUCCUAAAUUUGUUGUUUGUUAAUUGAAGUCGAUGCCCAGAAUUGUUUUUCACAAUCCAAUCAUUGGAUAGGAUUAGUGUGUUGAAAACUGCACUAUCUGUGCUUCAUUUAAAGAUGACACAAAAAUUAAUUUUGUAAUUGUUGUGGAUUGCAUUCCAAUCGAACCCAAUUUGCUCAGUUUGGAUUAAUGGUUGCUGAGGUAUCACCAGAAUGGUGCUGCUGUACAAGUAUUUUCAAAGUUGAGCAGAUAUUGUUUUUGCGACUUUUAACAAAUUUCUAUUCGCAAGAACUAGUCUAUAUUCAGAUAUGACCAGUUUCUUAUUACAACAUGCAUGAAAGACGUAGAUAACUUCAUGUUGAAUAUCCUGAUUUGCUUAUUUUCUUCAUUUUGUAAAAUGGAUCAUGAUUUGUAGCCUAGAAAUUCAUAUAUGACGUGCUUUGGAGUUCAAAUUAAAUGGAGAAUCCAAGCUAUGCUUGUAUAUUUACCUAAUAAUAAUUAAUGGGCUAGCUCUAGGAGAUAUUUAUACAUAUACUAUUAGGUAUUAGGAUGUUCAAGAGCCAAGAACAAUACAUAAAAAUUUUAUGUUUAUAUUAAAGGGGCCUCGGGUUUUACUUUCGCCCCGGGCCCCCGAAUUGUCAGGACCGGCCCUGGGAGCAAGCAGCAAGGGAUCAUCGGCUCCGGUGGCGAUGAUAGGCGGCACUGGUGAGACAGCGAACGACAACGCAUGAAGCAAGCAGUAAUGGAUGGCCGUCUCUCGUGGCGAUGAUCCGCAUCAGCGGCUGUGGGACGGCUAAUGACGACAUGCAGAGCAAGCAGCAAGGGAUCGCCGCUCGCCGGCUCCAUCAUGAUGAUCUUCGGCGGCGGUGAGACAGCCGAUGACGACGCACGAAGCAAGCAGCAAGGGACCGCCGUCUCUCACAGCGAUGAUCUGCAAUGGCGGUGAGACGGCUGAUGACGACGCACGGAGCAAGAAGCAAGGGAUCGUUGUCUCCCCCAACGAUCAUCUUGCCUUGGCGCUGGGAGCGGUUAGCGCGGUCGCAGGGCGACCUUCAACAGCAUGACGAAAAACGUGGAGAGCUCGGUGGCGGCAUGGGUGAUCGCCACUGUUCCUGGUGCUGCUCGGUGUUGUGUUCUUCCUCCGGGACUUGAUGCAUUUAUUUCCGGUACGUGUGCAUGGCUAUCCAAUUUAAAAGACAACAACCACGGAAAUGCAUAACUCUUGGACUUCGGACCUACCUUUCGUGCUCCGCCUCCUAUUAAAGUGCCUCAGUCAGUGGGUUACCCUCCUUUCUUAUUUUAGUGGCUGUUAAUGUCAGAUAUCAUAAAGAAUAUUACCACAUUAGGAUUGAGUUGUUUUGUUCUUCUAUUUUCCAGUAAGCCCUAUGAUAUAUAACCUAUCGGACAGCCCUAGAUCUGAUGCUAUGUAGAUCAAGGUUAUUUCUAAUUACCCACGAGACUCCGACAGAGUAUAUCAUGUGGAAUUUCUUGUUCUUAUAGUUAGGAUGAACCGUUGCAACAUCGUCUCGCAAUAAAUAAUUGUGCAAAAAAAUUAUGAUCAUUCACAAUAAUAUUGGAUCUCGAAACCAUGACUUAUUACAUAAUCAGUUUAUUCACUCUACAUAAAGCAGCGGACUCAUAGAGACACAUGCAUAUUGGAUAGUACAUUAUAUGGAAGGCGUGCAUGCAUCCCUAACCGAUCACACCCUUAGUUGCACCUGGGGCUCUGCACGAUUGCUAACCGGAAAUGACUGGUCGAACGUGGCUGCAUGCUCACUACCAGUAAACCUAAGCUUGUCACCAACACGUUGAACCGUAUGGAAUGCAAGAAAAUCCCACUCAAACUGGAUCCUGACGCCGCCCCAAUUGAGUAAUGGAUCCGGGCUGGAUAACCCCACUGACUAUGCUGUCAAACCGAAUCUUGUGUGAUCCACCGGCAACUGUAACGUUGAAGUCGCACGAGGCGGGGAGGGUCACCUCAACGGCACCCCCAUCAUGGUUCACGUACGACUUCACGCCCAGAGGCAAGAGAGCCCGCAGGAAGUUGUUUUUCGCCAACAGGUCGUAUGCUGUGUCGGAGGUGGCCGCUUGGAGGAUGGAAGCCAUGAAUACGAUGAGGAGCAGAUGCUGGAUGGCCAUGGCUAGCUAACUGUUGCUGCUUACAAAUUGUAUCAAGGAAUAUGAGGAA
rnacentral:lncRNA from 1 species